rnacentral:lncRNA from 1 species
GUGGUGGCCAUGGAAGUAGGCGAUCUGUUUAUGAUUUGUUGGGUUGUGCAGGUGGUGGUCCGGCGGUGAAGAUCGGCGGUGGCGCUUACGAUUGCUGCGUGGUGGUCGGUGAUGGAGAUAACACUGUUGCGGCGGCUAGGGUUUGGCAAGGGAAUUAGGGUUUCUGUUGAAGAUGGUGAUGGCGUGGCAUGAGGGAGUUAGGUGGCAUGUUCUGAGUUGUUGGAUCUAUUAGUGGUGGAUUGCCACAUGGCAAAAUCUGAUGAAGUCUGACUUAGGAAUGGUUGGAGGGUGUGUGUGUAUAGUGAAUUGGGGGGUGUAGGCCAAAAGGGUUUCUGUUGGGCUUUAGUUGUUGGCCUGGUUUAAAACUGAGGGGUGCAUGUAGGGAAAUCUGGGGGUGCAAGAGUAAAAACUGACUGUUUGGCCCAUCUGUACAUUAUUUAUCAAAUAAAAUCUGAUUUUGGGCUUUAAAUUACAAUUUGGACCAAUAAAACUCUAACUUCAGCUGCACAAAUAAAUAUUAGAACAUCCAAUAAUAAUUUAUGCAAUUAAAAUCACUUUUAAAACCCUUUUUAUUUCCAAACACGCUAAAUCUAAUAAUCACAAAUCCUCUACAAAUCAAUCGUGUAAGCACAAAUAUUCUAUCAAAAAUUUUAAUUUUAAAGCAUAAAUGUGGACAUAAAUAUGCACUCAUCACCUACGAAUCUUGUCGCUCUACUUUGUACCAAUAAAAUUUGUAAUAUCAUUUGAUCCCACAUAACAACACGAGUUAUACGAUCAUCACACAACACAAGCAAGCAAAGUUAAACUAACAAAAACAACAUUAUAUGAUAUACAUAAGAUAUAUGAAGUACAAAGGAAAACAUUAGAGGGGGUGAAUAAAACAUUAUUUUGCAAUGUAGCGUCUAAUGGUUUCAUAAAACUAUAUUUAGAAGUAAGUUAUGUCUAGAUGUUGGGUGAGUAAGGUAAGUGAAUAAAUAUUCUUUCAGAAGAUGACAUAGAAAAUUUAACAAUAGUUUUAAACGAAGAGAAUAAUAAGGCACAAUAUUUGUACAGGUUCACUUAAAUUUGAGCCACGUCCAAUUCUCUCUUAAGAACACUUAAUAGGUUCCAUUAAUCUUUUAAAGAUUAUAACUAGUUUAACACACUCCUAAUUGAUUAUUCUUACUGAAAUACCUGGAAAACACUAAACGUUGGGGGAGGGGGGUUGAAUAGUGUUAUAGAAAAACUUUUUGCCAAAAAAUGUAGUUAACAACCUUGUUAAAGAUUAAACGAUUUAUAUAAGUUGUUAGACACUUGAUUUAGAAAGUUUUGUUCGACUGCAAGCUCUCAAAUAAAUAAUUUUCAAUUGUUUAGUCAAAUUUGUUGUAGUGUUUUGAGAAAGAUAACUUUUAAUAAAAAUAGUGCUUGGUGAUAAGAGCUCUUAUAAACGAUUGACAGAAAAAACAACAACGAAAAAUUAUGUAAGGAAAGCGUUUAGCAAGAAGGAAUAAAAACACAAUUAUUUUAUAUUGGUUCACUCCACCAAGCUAUAUCCAGUUCUCCUCUAAGACCUCUUAGAGGGUUCCACUAUAAUCAUCAACAAGAUUAUAACUGAGUGUUCGCACCACUCUUGGUAUCACCUAGUCAAUCCCAGUAACCCCGUUACUCUGACUAGAACCCAGUUCAUUCAUUCCUAGUUAUGCAUUAUUCUUCAUCACUCCUAGUAUCUCUAGACAAUUCCGGUAUCUUCCGAUAUGAUGUCUAGUUGAAUUUCACCUACUUAUAGUUUCUACUAGACAAACCCAUCUAGCUACCAUUUAACUGCAUCGAAUUAAGCGUUAAGUGUUUGAUCCUCUUUAGGAUAUUCAAUAAUCAAUCAUAUUUUUUACAAGUCCUUAGACGAUUACUCUCACAGAAAUAAUGUGUACACAAUAUAAUUCAAUCUAAUAGACUCUUAGAGUUUUCUUUCUUCUUAAAAUAGUAUGCUUUUUAUGAUUCUAUGAAGCUUGAUAGUAUUUUCUUUAAUUUUGAGUUUUCUUUUCUUCCUAAAUGUUAUCUUUUGUAUUUGUGUGCUUAUUCUCUUGCUCUUUUCUUCAACGUUCUUACAUUUAUAGGCUUCUUCAAAAUGUUUUUUAGAUAGUACUUGCUUUGAUCUUUGGGUCUUCUUAGCCUUGUUGUCAGAGUAGACAUGUUUUUUCAGUACUUUAUCAAAAGUAGGUUGUACGAACUCUUGGACGUGACUUUUGAUAGAGAGAACAUUUUGUGAAUGUUUUAUUUGUCUCUAAUGUCCACUUGUGACUUGUAUAUGAUAGCGCAAGUGGAUACUUGACAAAGGUAAUAUGCAAAUAGUAUAGUAGAUAUGCACGCAAACAUAUAUGUCAUUUUUCUUAUUACUUUUGUUGUUUUGAAAUGUUGUGCAUUUAAUUUUUUUAAUGUGUGCUUAGAACAAUUCUAGGCUUUUAAAUUAUCUAUUGGUCAAGCAAGAUGUGAUUCAUUUAAGCAUUUCUGUAGAGAUACCAAGUAAUUCAUAACGAUUUCAUCGUUGGAUGAAAACGUCGUUUGGUACAAGGUAUCUUUUGGCCUAUAUAGGACGUUUACCAACCACGCUUUGUUUAGUGAUCUUAGUUUGGUUUAAAAGCGCAUUUAAUAAAAUGUCUUUCAACACAUGUUUUUGGAACAAUGUUUAUAUCUUUAAGCGUGUUUACCAAAAACAUCAUUUUGUACAUUAUAAUGAGAGUUUUCUAGUAUUGUUUAGCAAAGUAUAACAUGAGCACGUUUAACAAGACUCUCAUAUAGCACAUUGACUAAUUUUGUGAGAAAAUCGAUUGGUAGUGAGUCCACAAAAAUAUUAGUGCGUUUACUAAAGCUUUUCUUAAAACAUUUAGAUUUCAUACAGCUUUUUCACAAAAUGCUUAUCUUCCAACUAUAUUAUUUUCCCAAAGAUAACACUUUGUCAUAUGCUCAUUCCGUUUAUUGUUGUUUUUUAAACUUUAAAACAUAUGAAGACGUUAGAUGAUUCAGUCUUAUCGACAAUCUUGUCUUAACAUAAGCUAUAUAGAAAAAUUUGUCGUUGUCUCUCAUCAUAAUUCAUAUUCCUCUUUCACUAUCCAAAAACAAGGUAAAUCGAUGUUCACCCCACAUUCAAAAGAGGUUCUCAAUGCAACAACCACCAUACAUCUCCAUCGCAACACGGAUCAAAUUUCACAAUGCAAAACCACAUGUAGCUACAAAUGAUGUCUCUCUUUUUUGCAAAUCUGAAACCGUGAGAAACCAUGAGCACAAUUGUGUGGGUCAUCUUAAAAGGAAAAGCCAAAUCAAAAAGGUUUCAAAUUCAAAUAGUUAUAGCGGCAACGAUGGAGAAUGAUGGUCAAACAUGGUAGAUCUUGUUUUUGAGGAAACUAAAAGGAGUCAGCGAACUCAAUCAGCGAUUGUCCCAACUUCUCCAUGCUCUACAUCUCCUCCAACAACCCCACAUUGCCUUUCUUUUCCUUCUUCUUCCACUCCUCUGUGAUCUUCUCUUACAGCCAGAUCAAGAGUUGGGCACAAUUUAAUUGCCUCAACAGGGGAUAGUGCGUUCCCAACCCAUUCCUCUCUUGACAUGGAACCAUUGCCACAAAAGCCCACAUCAUGAACAUUUUGCGCUACGAGGAACCACCAUAAGGUUUGUAUACAAUUCUUGUUGUUCAAGUUGGAGUUGAUCCCAUCAUUGUAAACGUCGAGGAAUUUGAUGAAGUGGUUGGUGAGCUCUAGGAGCGACAACUUGGUAAUUUAGAAGGCCCAACACAAUAGCUUUGAACUCUGCCUCGAUGUAGAGGAGCUUGUAGAUGAGGUUGCAAAGCCAUGAGGUGGAGAGUAGAUGUUGAUAAUGUAAUCUCCUCCAAUUAUCUUCUAAACAAACAAAUAUCUUCAAGAUAUAUUUGAUUGCUGUGGAAUCUAAAAAUAUUUUAGAAGAUAUUUGAUAGAUUAAAAACGAUUUGGCAAAUAUUAUCUUUUGAUAUUUUUUGAUAUAGUUAAAUAAGGUAAUUAUUUAGCAAUAUCAAACAAAAUAUUUUAAGAUAUAUUUUCCCCAAAUUAUCUUUUAUCAUAAAAAAAAUUAUCAAUUAUCAAAUCCCUUUUUGUGGAUAAAAUAGAGAAAAUUGCAAGGUCCAAAUUUUGUUGCAUAACCCUCUUCUUGGCUUAGCUAAUUUUCUUCAAUUUUUCAUGCUUUUCUUGCCUUCUUCAUGUAAUGCUUAGCUUGACUUCUUGUCAUCUUAAUUAUUUGUUAUUUUUGGAUUUAUAUUUAAGGUGUCAUAAAAUUUUAACCAAUUUAUUUUCAUACCUCCAUGAGCUCAAUUUAGCUACAAAAUAUCCAAAAAAACACUUAUGCGACUAAAAAGCUAUUUUUAUCAUGUUUUUGUAUCUCAUGCGCAAGAAACCAAAUUAUAACAAGUCCUAAUUAAAAUAUUCUUUUAAAGUAUAAAACCAAUUAAGAAUCCAAGAUUAAAGGGUAAACGAGAACAUAAAUAUGCAGUCAUCAAAAUAUCUACGAGAGAUGAAUUGAGAACAACUUUCUAUAUCGAUUAUAAUUAAUCGGUAUAGAAAGUUUUCUUAUUUAUUAAAAGAAUGUCAUCACGUCCAUGUUUUAUACCAGUUAUAGGUUAUAAUUGUAUAGAAAAUUUUCUUCUUUAUUAUAAAAAUAUCAUUGGUCCACUUUCUACACCUAUUAUAACUAUAAUUAAUAUAAAACGUGUUAUCUUGUUUACUAUAAUGUCAUCGUCCCAAUUUUUAUAACUAGUGGAUUAUAACUGAUAUAAAUAGUAGUUCUAAAAAAUAUUUUUUGCACUAGUUAGUGUUGUUAAAAUGGGUUAGAACUCGCAUACCAAUGGCCCAUCACGGGUUCGAGCCGGGUUGAGUUUGAAAAAAAUGAAAUUUUUUUAUGUGGACCAAUUUUUAACCUGGCUCACCUAGGUUAAAUCCGUGGUGAGCCAGGUUGAACCUGUGGUGAGCCGAGUUGGCUCACCAACCCACCUAGUUUAAUUUAAUUAUUUAUUAUUUAUUAUUUUGUGUUUCAAUAUUAUUAGUUAGCAUUUUUUUAUUGUAUUGUAAAUGGGAAUAAAGAAAAAUAUGUUUCAAGAGAGCAAAAUAUUUUAAGUUUAUCAAUUCAAGACUAUAUAAUCUUAUAAAUGGAUAAGUGACAUAAAAAUUAUCAAUAUUAUAAACUUAUUUAUUCGCCUUUUAGAUUUGUUUUUGAAUUACAUUUUAGUUGUAUGCUAAUUUUUUUAUUUUGAAUUGUCUUUGGAGUUUAACAUUAUUUUAGAGUGAAAUUAUUUAAAUUUGAAGUACAAAAAAAAUUGUAUUUUUUUUAUUUAAAAAAAACUUUAAUUAAGUGAGUCAAUGAGUCAACUUGUUUAACUCAUCAACCUUUGGCGGGUCGGAUCAAGUUCGAAUUUUUUUGGCUCGUUAAUAAAUGAAUUGGGUUGAGUUGAUAAUCCGUUUAUAAUCCUCUCAAAUCCACUCAAUUACUCUCCCUCAAUUCCACUCAAAUGAACAACACAUAAAUAACCUAACCGGUAUCAGACCGAGUUGGUUCAAAUAACCCGUUUUAACAAUACUAACACUUAUAUAAAUUAAAUAUUUCCAAUGUUUGAACCUUUGAGGCGCCUAUGGAAGAGAAAAUUCACUUAUAAAAACUCUUUAACGUUUAACUGAGCAAGAAUAGACGAAUAAUAUAAAAACUUAAAAUGAUUAUUAGUAUUGAAUAACUACUUCUUGUAAAAUAAUUUAUUUAUUGACAUUUUAAAUCAAUGGAUAUAGAAUAUAUUAUCAGUUCUAUUAAUAUAUUUGCAAAUAAUAUCUGAUAAAUAAAUUAUAAUUUCACGUCUUCCUAAUAUUUCAGUUAUUAUAAUGAGCCUUCCAUUAUUUGGUCUCUUAAAAGGUAGUAACCAGCUUUUAGGCUAAAGAUAUUGGACUGCUUUUAAACCGAGGAUAUACAACAAAUGCUAGAAUUACGAGUUAAUAAUCAAAAAGAUUUUCUAACAUUAUGGAUUCAAUUCUAAUAGAUUGUUAACUUAUUAAUAUACAUUCUAAAACUUAGAUCCAAGAUUAAAUUAUUUUAAGCAUAUGUGAUAUAUAUCUCCCAUUUGAUAAUCAAAAGCCAUAAAGAUUUCUAAAAGAGAUACGUAUCUACUAAAUGUUUUCUUCAAAAAAUUAAAUUCCUUUAAUGUAAAAAUAUAUAUUAAAUUCGAUUGAUUAUUGCAUAGUUAAUGUUAUCGUGUUAAACUUUUAUAAAUAAAAAUAUUAGAAAGUGCUAUCUAUCAAUUGUUUGCCAUGAAAUUAAAAUUUUCUUCUUAACAAAAAUUAAAUAGAGUAUAAAGAAAAAUUUAAUGUCUAAUUUUUUUCAUUGUAAUAAAAUACAUCUUUUCUAAUCUUAGAUCACUAUCAUUUGUGUAACUUAUAUUUUGUAAUAUAAAAUUAUACUAAACUUAAUCAAGGUACCAACCAAGUAUUAUGAAAUUGUUCGAGUCUAAUAUUUAACAUUUGAUUCAAAAAUACUGUACAAUAGCUUUCAUUAACUAUAAUCAAAUUCUCUCAAAUUAUAGAGAUCAGAUGUUGAAGUAUAACUACUAUAGAAUGAUAGAAUUCUAAAAUUACAAAUAUAAAGAUCCAUGUUUAUCAAUUUUAUUUAAAAUGAAUUAGUUAAAAUAUGUGAGUAUACAGCUUUUUUAUUUUAAUGUUAUUAGUUUAAAGUUUUGGUUCUCCAUUAAUUGCUCCCCAGAAUUUUGGAUUUAGUGGGAUAGAUACUAAUAAAGGAAGGGUUAAAUAUAUUUUUGGUUUCUUAACUUUUAGUGAAAAUUGAAAUUAGUCUCUUUUCAAAACUUUGAUUUAAUUUAGUCCCACAAUUAUAAAGAUGUAUUUUAAUUAAAAUAAUUUAUGCAUAAAAAUUGAUUAAAUUUAAUAACAGUAAUAAUUUAUUUUUAAUAUAAAUAAAACUGUUGGAUAAUAAUAAAAUCAUUAAUUAUAAUAAUAAUAUCACUUUAAUUUCUCAAGGAUAUUUAAAUAAUUUUCAUUCUCAAAACUAAAAAAAGAAAAUCCAAAACCCUUACUCACCUCCCUCAUUCCUCUCAACCCUUUCUCUUUCAUCUCUCUCACUCCAACAUUUUCUCUGUCAUCCUUGUUGCCCCAAUUGAAAAAAAAAAUCAUAAACCUUUGCCUAACCCUAAUUCACCUUCCUCACUUAUCCAAUUUGUUGUAAUUUGUUGCUCUUGCUCUGUUCGUUCAUUUGGAGGAUGUGUUAUAUAUUUUCCUUUCUUAUUAUUAUUAAAUUUCAUUUUUAAAUUAAAUCAUGUAAAUAAAACCUUCAUAAAUCAAUUAAAUUUUCAUACAUUAUUUACACAUCUACACCACAUUUCAUUAUAUUUUUAAAGAAAAAGAUAUUUCCCUCUAUUGUCCCUUUCCCUUUACACAGAGUGUUUCUUUUUCCUUUUUGUAUUGGUAUGGGAUACAUGAUGUAAGAUUACAAUCUAGAAUUGAAAGAAUUGUACUCCUAGGGAGCUCUUCUAUACCUAUUUCUUUAAUUUCCUUAUGUCCCUUUUUUAUCACUGAAUCAACUUCUACUGGCAUUAAACUUUAACCAGUGUGCAAGAUAACAAACAGUAAAAUCAUUUUUUACCUUUGAAAUUUGGAAAGAGUAACAUAAUAAAGUGAAAAAGUUUAUAUUCAUUUUACACACAUUAAUAAAUAUAAAAUGAUUAUAAAAGAGUAAACUUUUUCAACUUUUAACAAAUAUCUCCAAUUCAAAUUAUCACCAUCUUCAAUUGGGUUGAGAUGAGAAAAAAAAUGUUGGAGUGAUGACAAAGAAAAUGUUGAGAUGAGAGAGAAAAUAUGUCUGAUGACAAAGGGUUUCUGAUUUUUUUUUUUCAAUUGGGGCAACCGUAGGGAUGACAGAGAAAAUGUUGGAGUAAGAGAGAUGAUAGAGAAAAUGUUGGAGUGAGAGAGAUCAAAGAGAAAGGGUUAAGAGGAAUGAGGGACGUGAGUAAGAGUUUGGGUUUUUUUUUUUUNNUUUUGAGAAUGAAAAUUAUUUAAAUAUCCUUGACCUUAAAACUUAGAAUCCAUGAUAAAUGAGGGUAAUUUUGUCUACUAUAAUCCGGUACGUUUUAACAAUGUGUACCGCAUUAUAAUAGACGGGUUCUAAGGAUAUUUAAAUAAUUUGAUUCUCAAAACUAAAAAAAAAAAAAAAGAAACUCCCAAACCCUUAUUCACCUCUCUCAUUUCUCUCAAUCCUUUCUCUUUUAUCUCUCCCACUCCAACAUUUUCUCUAUCAUCCUAUGGUAGAUCUAAUCGAAAAAAAAAAAUUAAUUGGGACUACAAUAGAGAUGACGGAGAAAAGGUUGGAGUGAGAGAGAUGAAAGAGAAAGGAUUGAGAGGAAUGAGAGAUGUGAGUAAGGGUUUGGGGUUUCCUUUUUUUUAGAGCUUGUUUCUGAUUUUUUUUAAUUGGAGCUACAGUAGCGAUGACAAAGAGAAGGUUGGAGUGAGAGAGAUGAAAGAGAAAGGAUUAAGAGCAAUGAGAAAUGUGAGUAACGGUUUGGGUUUUUUUUUGUUAGUUUUGAGAAUGAAAAUUAUUUAAAUAUCCUUGACUUUAAAACUUAGAAUUCAUAAUAUAUGAAGGUAUUUUUGUCUAAUAUAAUCUGGUACACAUUGUUAAAAUGUACCAACUGAAAAACAGACGUANNNNNAACAAACCCAUAUAUAUAUAUAUAUAUAUAUAUAUAUAUAUAUAUAUAUAUAUAUAUAUAUAUAUAUAUAUAUAUAUAUAUAUAUAUAUAUAUAUUGUGUGUUUAUAUACAUAUUUUUUUUAUUCUAAACUCAAUUAAUUUUAUUUCAUUAUAGAAAAAAUUACUUACAACAAAAUUAUAAAAAUUAAUUUAUUAUAUAACUACUUUUGUGAAGAAGGUUUUCACAAUUUUAAAAAUAACUUUUUAUUGAGUUAUUAUAAUAAUUAAUCAUUUAUUACAAAAGAAGGUAGUAAAUAUAUGUAUUUCUAUUAGAACAUAUAAAAUAACUUAAUCAUAUUAAUAUAACUUUUAAACAUAAAACAUUUAAUAAGGUGUGGAUUUAAUCUAUAAAUUGUAGCUUUAUACUAUUAUAUUAUUUAUACAAUAAAAUUUAAUAAUAUAACUAAUAUUUUACUAAAUUUAAAAAAUAAUAUAUUACAUUUAUUAUCAUUUAUACAAUUUAUAAAAACAGAAACCGAAUGAUGUUAUAUUUAGAUAGAAGUUCAUGUGUAUAAUUUAUGUAAUAUAAAAUUUUAAUCAACUUUAAAACACGUGAUUUAAUUGAAUUGAAAAAUAUUCAUGAUAUAAAAAAUUUGGCGAUGUAUGAUAUAUGAAUCUUCCCCAUCCUAGAAAGUAAUGAUGAGAUAGAUGUAAUGGUACACUCUCUUUCUUUCUCAAUAGAGAGAGUGAAGACAAUAAAACAAACAAACAUACUAAACAUACACUUCAUAACAAAACAAUGACAGCUCCUACCAGUUGCUGCACCAGACAUAGUGUGUGUAUGUUUGAAUUUAAUGCAGAUGCCAUUUUCUUCUUACAGAGCAAUCAAUGCAUCAUUUUCCAUGUUAGGAUUCAAUAUAAGGUUUCUGUUCCCACGAAAAAGAUCCUUCUCUGUUCCUUUCCUUAACCAACUCCACCCCAUUUGUCUCUCUUUGGAUUCAGCACAAGCAAACAAGUACAUGUACAAAACCACAUUAUACCAUUACCUCAUCACUUCAUCAUCACCAUCAAAACAUAUAGUACUAUAAAGAUAUUUAAGCCAGACAAUGAAAAUAUAUAUUAUAAGUCUUUAUUUAUUUAAUCUGGACAGAGAAUUGGAUGAUGAUUAUAUAUACGAUAAAGAUACUUUCACAAUAUCUUUGAGCACAUUUUAUAUUUUAUAUAAUUUGUGUGAUCUUGUUAUUAUUAGUCCAUGUUGAUAUUUAUGAUUAUUAUUAUUUAUCUUAGAUUAAUUUUAGAUUCACAGGAGAAUGAGACGUAAUGUUUUUCAAAGUAUCAUUAUCCUUUUUUAUAUAUAUAUAUAUAUAUAUAUAUAUAUAUAUAUUUAUUGGUACGAACCUACUUCUUUGAACUAAAAGUUCCUCUAUUACUGUUUUUCUUUUUUUAAAUUUCAUGUUGAAAAAGAAAACAUUUAUAAACUAUUUUGACUCUAAAAUGGAAGAAGAUCCUAUUGUAGGAUUAAAGAAUUAGAGUAUCCAUGAUCGUCCUUUUUUUUUCACAGACAAGAACAUCUUUUGACAUCAAAACCUUAGCAAGUGUUGUGUUAGUGUUACCUCGGAACAAUUACAAAGACCUUUGUUGAAGAAAAUUGAUAUUAUUAGUCCUUUGGCGCUUAACAUUCCCUGAAGCUGAUUCAUCUCCAACACCACUCUUCUCCAUCACUGCCUUCAGUGCUUCUUGUAUUGAGGUAAUACAGUAUUGUUGUUGCUGCUGAAUGCUUUGCUCUCCAUUGGUGUUUGAACUUUCUUCGUCACCGGCAAUGACCAACACGUUCUUCACACGCCCACCAAGCGAUGUGAUCUCAGCCUUGAGGGUUCUGAGCUUCAAGGCCUUCAACGUUUUUAUGAGGUCGGGUAAGAGAUCUGACCUAUCUUCACAGCACAGUGAGGCUUUGAUCACAAACUUUCCAUCUUCGUCUGCUGCAUCUACUGUCAACUCGUCUGCCUCGGUUGGCACUGCACUGCUUUCUGCUAUCAGAGAGGUUUGGCGCUUCAGCUCCUUCACGUGCUGAAUCACUUCUGCUAGCAGCGAAGCUUUAUCUGUCUGCCACAACAAAAUCAAAACAACUUUUUUAUAAGAUUGAACUGCACAAAGCAAACAUCUUUUCUUUCCGGGUAAAUUGUGAAAUAUCAGUGACAUAUAAUGAACUUUUCUAACAGACUAAUACAUUAGAGGCUCACUAUAACAACUACUUUACUGGGUAAUGAGUGAAUAAGAGAAUAAAACUAAUUUUGUGGUUAAAAAUCACAGUUAAAGUGUAUAGAUAAUAUAUUUGUGGUUAUGAUAAAGUACAAAUUGGUAACAUAUUUUAGCAAUUUUUAGUUUAUUAAUGAAUAUUUUAAAGACACUAAUCAGUGCUAACAUUCUCUCAUGAUUAAUAGAAAAGGUUGGAAGUUGUGCAAUGUUUGAAAUGAGGUAGGUAGGGGUGUAGCUUGAUGAUUAUGAAAUGGAAGUAGUGGGGGUAUUUUGAAUGGUGGAAGUGGCAUGCAGCAUGUGUAGAUAGAGAGAAAGAUGAGAUGAGAUAGAUAGGUAUAUAGAAUAGUGAGUGAGUGGGUGCAUGUGUGUGUGCCUGAAAAGGGUGCUACUUUGUCUCUCUGGCUUUAUUUCUUUUUCAUUAUCGAGCUGAGUUUGACCGAUAACACUAUCCGGCAAGAAAUUUCCAUGUGUAGCUUUUUCAACUGCUGCUUGGUUCCUCUUUAUUGCAUCAACAACCUACCUUAACACUAAUACCUUUAUGUCAUCUUUAAUCACCCUUUUUACUAAUAAACUCGUCUGAAACAGUCAUACCAAAAAAAGUAAGCUAAAAACAAUAAACAUAUAUGUCAUGCUUGUUCUUUCAAACAUGUCUGUGUAAGUAUGUAUGAAAAUGUUGCUAUCGCUCUUCCUUUAAACAAAAUAAGAACAUGGAAAGCCAAAGAAAGCAGGUUAGUGAGAGAAACAAACAAGACCUUUUGCAUGCAACCUAUUUUUUAUAUGCCAUUUUGGUUUAAAACGCACCAUGUUGAAAAUUCUCCUAUUAUAUACUCUCGGUCUCUGAUCAGGAAGGCAUGUUAGGUGAUUUCAUACGAGGUUUUGUCAGUUUUGUUGUCCUUUUAAAUUAGAAAUGACAUGAUGAUGUCUUUUUUAGUUAGGAAUGACUCUAUUAAUCAAAAAACAGCAAUAAUAUUUGAAAAUCUGGGUUCGGUUACAAUUUCAUGCAUGUAUUUUUUUCUAUAUACGAACAAAUAGUUUAUGCAUGAUGUGUGAAAGGUCUUGCAAAGUCAAACAAUCACAUUAUAUAUAUGCUAAACUCGUUAUUUUAUAAUAACUAUUAUAGAAUUUAUAUUAGUUAAAAAUGGCUUAGUAAUUAAUAGUAUUAAAGAUCUUGUAUUGAAUACACUUACUUUGGUAGUGUUGGGCAAUAAACUACGAAGCUUGGCAAGAUGGUUGUUGAUUCUCUCUCUACGUCUUCUUUCUGCUUCACUGUGACUCUUUGAUGCAGCAAGAGCCUUAGCCUCCAUGAUUUCUUGAGCAGUCAUUUUUCCCAACUCGGCUUGGAGUCCAAAGGGUGCUGAACCGGGUUGAACCAUAGGUCCGAGGGUGUCAGAUAUGAUCCUUAGAUGGUGGUGAUCAGAAGAAGGACUCUCGUAUGCAAAUUGAAGAGAAGGGACCCUUCUGCUGAAGAAGCUCGCAUAGGGUGAAGGUGUGGGAGGGACUAUAAACGUUUGGUCAUGAUGGUCUCUGACAGGGUUGGUGUUAUUGUUGUAGUGAACCGGACCCGGGUUGAAUGAGUGAACAGGAGGCAUGGACCACGGUUGCAUGAUUGGAGUAACUUCAGGGAACAUUAACCCUCUUGAAUCCCCGAAGAUGUUGUCACUAUUUUGUUGCUGCUGCUGCUGCUGAUGCAUCUGUUGUUGAAGGAGAAGGUGCUCUUGGUAGCUUUGAAUAUCGUUGUUGUUAUUGUUGUUGAUUGGUUGAGAUGAACACUGUCCUUGAUCAUCUAAUUCCUUUUUCAUCUCCCUCUGAUGUGAAUCCAAACUCCAAAGCUUUAUAUAUAUGUGAUGGAGUGAACAGAGGAAGAUUUAAGGGUUCAAACGUCAGAAAGGUUAGGGUAUUUUCUGUUUUGUCUAAUAUGACCAGAAAAAAGGGAGCAAGAGCUGAAACAUAAAAGGGUAUCGAGAAGAAUAUUUCAUACUUUUUUCAUUUGCCCACAUGGACAUUGACAAGGAGAAAGAGCAAGAGGGAACUAAUUAAACUAUAAAAAGACACAAACCUUAAUCCCUUUGAUGCAGAAUCACUGACUGUGUUCUCUUCUAGUUCGGUCUUGUAAUAAUUCUAUCGAACAAUCAGUUACUUUCUUUGUUUCCUUUUGUUGUGGAGGUGCUGAAAUAAAAGGCCAAACGUUUGAAGCUUUAAUUCUCUCUCUCUCUCUCUAUCUAUCAAAUCUCUUUCACUUCUGCCACAAGGGUAUGUUAAUGAUCCCUUUUAUCCUUUACCUCCAAUAGAGCUUUCCUUUAUUUUGUGUUGGUGUCUUUUUGGACUUAUGUUUGGUCUUUGCUAUCUCUUCUUCUCUCUGAACUCUAAAAUAUAUAGAGCCUGUUUGAGUACUGCUAGUCCCCUUUCCUUUCUUCCUACGGCAUUAACUUUAUCUAUAUCAUUCCAUGUAGCUUUCAGGGCUGUCUGUGGAGUGGCAUCUUUCUAACACAGCAAAAACUACAAUAUAUAAUGUUUUACAGCCAUAAAAUAUAUAGUAUAAUCUCAUAAAGUAACACUAAUUUUUCGUUGCUUCCGAUUGGUUCAAAGUGUAUAAUUGCACUAGCUGUGUGAAAGAGAGAGAAACACAAGCAAGAACAACAGAGUUAACACAACAAAGAUUGUCGAUGGACCGACCAAGGACCAGAAAGGCUGAACAGUUAUCAUCAUGAUAAAAAAGCUUAGCUUAACCUUUUCUCUCUUUUUCAUUUUUUAAAUUUUGGGUUAGUAGUAGUACAAUUUUAUAGUAUAUAUAUUUCUCCAUUUUAUUUUAUUUUUGUUUUUUACUUCAUUUGGGGGGUCAUUUUUAUACUUUGCACUUUCCCUUUUGGCGUUUCCAUGGUCAAGCCCCACGUUCUUCCAUACUCUUAGCUAUGUGACUAUGUCCACGCCACCCUUUCUGCUUCCCCAACACCAUGUAAUCAUUGUGUCUUGGAACACACUCUUCCCCCUCUCUUCUCUCUCCUUGCUUCUCCUAAUAAGUGUCUUGGUUUCAGUUGAAACUAGGUCUGUAGUCUGUAGUGUGUAUGUUUAUGCAUAUUUAUAUGUGUGGUUCUCAUUACCCUAUCUCCUUUUGGGGGGUUAUAGCGAACUUGUUCAUAUACAUCAUCUAUAUUUUUCUAGUAGUGGAGUGGAUGUGGUCCACGAGUAAACGACAACACAGCAACAUAAAAUAAAGCACAGCUUAUAUGUUAAUGCUUUAAAUUUCUUUCACCUUUUGAUGUGGAAACUUUCAAUAGGAGAUAGUGGAUCAGCAUUACCUUCAUUUUACGUGGGCAUGCAGUAAUAUGUUUCUUCAACAUCGGUUACCCAAACUUCAAGUUUAAUCUAAAUUAAGCUUAGGAUCAUCAGGGUUUUGUCUUGCCAUUAUAAUCAUAGCAAGUCAUCAUUUUUAACAUCAACUAGGUUGAAAUUAUUCGUUUUAUUGGCCUCAGUCUUCACCCUUCAACUUGGUAAUCAUCAACUUGCAAAACCAUUCACCACCCUGUCAUCUUCUGUAAUAAUUUUUUCCCUCAAAAGAAAACGAACAAAGAAAUCGUUAUUCUAUAAAUAUGGAAAAUGGACGCAUACCUUUCCAUAUUUGUUGUUAUGCGCAAAUAUGAAAUAUAUAUAUAUAAAAAAAAAUCUGAUGCAAAAUGCAUAUUCUCUUAGAAUAAACAAUAAAAAAUGUGCAGGUCCAUAACAUACGUGACUUUAAUUUCUUGGCAACUUCUUGUCUUUGUAUUUUAAGUUAUCCGAGCUCACCACGAUGACGUUGAUGACUCAAUUAAUGUAAAAUUCUGAUGAAAAGAAUGUGGAUUUAUAAUAAUGUAAUGACAUUUUUGUUUAUUGGAAAGUGCCAAAAGAUAAUCUAAAAUUCUUAUGAAAAGAAUAGUUAUAAAAUGUUACAACUUGAAAAGGCCACACACAGAAGGAAAUAAUAGAUGUUUCGAAUUACUUUUGACAAGUGGCACAGUUUUCGAAACUCCGUAUCUAUCUAGCUAUAGCAUACUAUUGUAGUGUUACUUUUCUUUUGUUUUUGUCUCUCUUAACUUUUCUUUUCUAGUUUAAUUUAUUUUUUGUCUCUCUAGUUUCACACCUUUUCUUCUUCUCUUCUAAAUAUACUUACUGUUUACCUUAUGUUGUAGCAGUAGUAGCUGUUGUUGUGCUUCUCCCUGGUUGGUCCAAAAGAGGAUUACAUAAUAUGGUUUUGGUUAUCUUUUUAGUAGGACAUUGAUAUGGUAAGAAAAGUAAAGCAUGGUAAUUUAUUAGCCCAGGCUUAAAAGGCAAUUAGUCUCAUACCGUCACCGGCAAAGUCUGCAAGCAAAUUACACGGUUCCCAUAACCAGUUUGGCCAUCAGAAGUAAAAGUAAAAUGUAAAAUCAUUAAAGGCUACACACUUACGUUUACCUAUUCAAUGUUAAGGAGUUGGUGCUGUGGUUUAGAAUAUAUUUGCUCUCAUUUCUUUUAUAAUUACAAACAUUUAUUUAUUAUAAUAAUCGCAUUAUUCUUCAAAACAAGUUUUCAAGUCAUUAUUUGAAUGUGGAUUAUUCUUAGAAGGUUGGAUGGAACUUACAAAACCAACAUGAUUUUCCCUUUCAUCUUCAAUUAUGAAGCAUAGAUAGAUGGAUAGGAAAAUAUAACUAAAUUAAAAGGUUUAAUAUCUAUUUUGAUCUCUAUAUUAUUUAGUUUUGUUCAAAGUUAUCUUUACUUUUUUGAGAUGUUCAAAGUGGUUUAUUUUUUUGUAAAAAUUAUUCAAUUUGAUCUUUUUUGUCGACGACAUUUAAAUCGCUAACCGCGUAAUGUUUCACAUGUCAACGUAACAUGAUUCAAGGAAAAUAAUUGUUCUUUUCUUUUAGUGUUUAAACAGUUCCUUUUUAAAUAGUAGAGGAUAGUUGAUAGCGUAUCAUUCGUUUUCCAUUGCGACCUUGAUCAUUUUUUCAAGUCUUUUAAGACGUUAUGGGAAUCUUUCUUCAAUGUCUUUGUCUAAACAUAUUUGUACAAGCAACACAAUUGCCUUUGGAAAAGCAACAUAACAUUGACCUUGUACCAAAAAGACUAUACACCUACCUGAAAGUUAAUGCUCUGAGUAACAAAUCUUUUUCAAAGAAGCCUAUAUUAAUAGGAUCACAUGAAAAGAAGAAAGAAGAAUUAAGAAUCAUUAUUGCUCUUAUGCUGUCAAAACUCUCUUUUGCUUGCAUCAUUUAAAGAUUUCUUUGAACAGAAAAUCUUUGUUACACGUUUUCAGAUAUUCUUUGUAUUGCAAAUAUAUCCUCUGUACGAGAGUUAUUAUCUAUACUUGUUUUUCAUAAAAACACUUUGUUGUUUUUGAAGAAUGAGAAGUAAUUUAAAAUACUUGGUUAUUUAACUCAGUCUAGUUAAACGAUAUAGUCAAUUGGACUAUUUCUAUACCAAGUGUGGUGAAACUCGUUUAGUUUGUUAAACUAGUAUGAAACCAGGAGUAGUUAAACUCGUAUAAUAUUCUCAAAGAUAGUUGAACUCCUUAAAAAUGUUUAAGGAAGAACUAUAUGUAACUCAAUUUGAACUAGUAUAAAAAUAAGUCUUCUUUCUUGUUAAAGUUUUUAAAGGCUUUAAGAAUGCUUCUUAAGAUCCUAAUAUGUUCAACACUAUUUGCAUACCGUCUAAUCCAUGUAAAUAGUUUCUAACUCUCUUUUGUGAAAAAGUUUUAAACUUUACUCAAACUCCUCAUUUCUAGAGUUUACUUAUGAUUUGAUGAGGUGUUUUAAAGGAUUCUUGCUUGAUAUAGGUUUUAACUGUAAAAUCUUCACAUCAGAUGAUAUUUUUUCUAUCUUUACUUUGUAUUUUCGUCGUUAAUCAUUCUUUUGUAAUUCUUGUCACGGCUUAAGUGAUAGUUGUAUAAGCAAUUUUGUGAAACAUUUUCUGUUCUUGAGAAUUAUCUCAGGAUUUAUUGUAUAGAAUAGAGGUUACAUAGAUAAUAGGUGUUUCUUAUAAUAUGUAAAGUUUUGACAAUAUAGCUAAGGUUGCUAGAUAAAAUAGAUGUAAAUUUUUAAAGAAUUGAAUUAGUAUAAAAAAAAAUUGUGUCAUUGAUUUUUUUUUAUAUAUUUUUUUUUCAUGUAUUUUUGAAUCUUGGUAUUGAAUAGAAUUCUAAUUUCUUAAUUGAUUAAAAAAAAUUCAAAAGAGAAAGAGAAUCAAAUUUUUACUACAACCAAUUCAUUGAAAGAUAUUAGUGGUGGCAUUUUUUACAAUAACAACGAAACAUUACAUUCUAAAAAGAACUCAAUACACCAACAUCUACACUUAUACCUCUAAUAAGCUUUUACUACAUGGAAAUUCAUUUAUUAAACUAACUUUCAAAUUUAUUAAAAUAAAUCAAGAAGAAUUUAUAAAAAUGCUAUGACACGGUUUCGUCGUAACUCCAAAGAAGUUUUUUUUUUUUUUUUUUUUUCAUGCACGUCCAUUUAACAUACUUCAUGAUGGAAGGCUUUUAAGUUCUCUUUAAGAUGUGGUAUACCUUUUGUCGUGAGGCAUGUUUUUUUAGGGCACAUUGUGGUCACAGGUACAGGCAUGUAUGCUUUGGUCCCAUUGCUACCUUAUUUUAUUUAUUUUCGAUGUUUCUGUAAUAUUCCCUCCACAGAUGUAUUUUUUUUUUUGUUUUAUGUAUAGAUUUUUGUUGGAAGUUAUACACCUAUUAGAGAUAAGACUAAUUUAUAAUAUAUAAAUAAGGUGCAAAUUUUAUUUUACAAAUCGAUUUUAUAAGGUUGAGUUAGACUUAAAAACUCACUCUCUACUAAUUUUAAUUUUCAGUGAACCUUAUAUUCAAACAUUUUAUGAUAGCUGCACCACCACUAUGAAGAAGAGACCCUUUUGAUGGUGUUCACCAUGACAUCAAUCCCACCCUAUCAUGACGUGUGUUCUCUUCAAUUUUACAAAAUGAUGGUUUUUCCUUAACAAUUGUUUUCGUUUUUGUCUCUAAACAAUUCCGAGGAAAGAUCAUAACAAGAUGAGUAAUUAUUGAAAAAACUAAUUAUUAAGUCACAUAAUUUGAAUAUUUUUUAAUCAAUUUGAAAAAAUAAAUUAUAAAAAAAAAGUUGUGAUAAAUCAACCAUCUUCAUAAGUUGUGUACUUUUAAAAAAAAAUAGUAAAUUAUAUAUUUUAAAUGAACGUUAAAAAUUUAUAGUUAGAACUCACUUAUAAACACAAAAAAUAAUGUGUUUAAAUAUAUAUAUAUAUAUAUAUAUAUAUAUAUAUAUAUAUAUAUGUUCUUUCAUAUAUUUUUCUAACUUAUUCAAGUCAUUAUCUUCUCAAUUGUAAUGUAAAAAAUCAAUGUUUCUUGUCAUUUAUCACAUGUUCUACUCCCUCUAUAAAACAUGGCAAGAAGUAAAACACAAUCUAUUAUUCUAACUCAUUUUUCACAUAUUUUGUUUUAUUUUCAAAAAAAAAAUGUUUACCCGCUUCAUUACACGAAAAAUAAUAAAAUGUAACCCUUUUUAGAAAUUAAAACAAUUUGUUACUAUAUAUAUUGAUUAAGUUAGAUAUUAUUUUACAAAGGUUUAAUCAUUCUGAUAGUCUUUAUUUUCGGUGAUUUAUUUUAAUUAGGUCCUUUAUUUUUUCUUUUUCUCAAUUGGGUCCCUAUUUUUGAAAAAUUGAAGCAAUUAGGUCACUGUAGUUCCGUACUAACACCAUUAAAAAGGGUGACACGUGUCAGUUCGUGAUUUUUUUAAAUUUUUUAAAUAUAUUUUUAAUUAUUUUUAUUUUUAUUUUUAAUUUUUUUAUUUAUUUUAAAAAAAAAUUGUCACGUGUCAAGUUGACAUUGAGCCACGUGACAAUGACAAUGUGAGGUGACACUGAUAGGGCCACGUGUCACUAUCAGACCACGUGUCAUUAGAUUUGUUUUAAUUUGGUCCCUAUAUUUUUAAUUUGUCUUAAUUUGGUCCCUGUAUUCUUAUUUCGUCUUAAUUUAGUCUUAUUUUUUUUAAAAACUAAACAAUUUUGUUUCUCUCCAAGUUCAAACAAAAUUUUAUUUUUAUAUAAAUCUUUACAAAGAAAUUUAUACAAAUUAAUUUUUUUAUUAGAAAAAUAAAAAAAUUACAAACUAACAUAUGACACAUUUUUAUUUAUAUAGUAGUAAAGAAAUCAUUUAACCUAAAUAAUAUGAAUGAGUAACCUAUNNNNNNNNNNNNNNNNNNNNNNNNNNNNNNNNNNNNNNNNNNNNNNNNNNNNNNNNNNNNNNNNNNNNNNNNNNNNNNNNNNNNNNNNNNNNNNNNNNNNNNNNNNNNNNNNNNNNNNNNNNNNNNNNNNNNNNNNNNNNNNNNNNNNNNUAAAAAAAUUAGGACUAAAUUGAGACAAAAUAAAAAUACAAGGACCAAAUUGGAACAAAAAAAAUUCAGGGACCAAAUUGAAACAAACGCAAUGACAUGUGGUUUGACAGUGACACGUGGCACUGUCAGUGCCACCUCACACUAUCAUUGCUACGUGGCACAAUGUCAACUUGACACGUGACAAAUUUUAUUUUUAAAAGAAAAAAAAUAAAAAAAAAUAAAUAAAAAUAUAUUUAAAAAAUUCAAAAAAAUCACGAGUUGACACGUGUCACCCUUUUUAACGGUGUUAUUGCGAAACUAACGACAGUGACCUUAAUUGCUUCAAUUUUUCAAAAAUAGGGACCCAAUUGAGAAAAAGAAAAAAUGAGGGACCUAAUUGAAAAAAGUCACCGAAAAUAGAGACUAUCAGAAUGAUUAAACCUUUUAUAAACUAAAAAUUAUUAUUAUUUAAAAUUGUCUAUAUUAUGAAUAAAAAUAUUAUUGGUUUGUGAAUUAGAUUAUAAAUUUGUCUCUAAAGUUAGUUUCUAAGAUUUUAGUUGCUUAGUAUUAUUGAUUAUAAAUUAUAAUGUUUAAUUUUAACUAAUUUGAAAGUAGAGAGUAAUUUAUACAUUAAUUCCUAGGUAGUUAAUAUUAGGGAGCAAUUUAGAUUCUAAUUCACAAAUCAAUAAAAAGUUUUUACUUAUAAUAGAGUUUAUAUUAGAUAUUAAAAUUGUAUCAAAAUUAGUUAAUAUAAUUACUAAUUAUUUUGUUUAAAAUUGAUUGUUGUUUAAUGAUUUUUUUUUGUAAUAUUUCUCAAUAAAAUAUUAAUUUAUAGCUAGUAUUUAUAGUAUUUGUGAUAGGUGAACUUUGCAUAUAUGGUCUAAAAUAUAAGAAUUUAAAAAGAAAUUUUGAAAAUAUCUUUGAGUGAGAUCUAUAUAUAUUGAAACUCGUUCUAAAAUACGAAAUACGUUAAUUUCAAAAAAAUGAUAAUUGUGCAUAAUGGAUUAAGUGUAAGAAAAUGUACAUACCAAAGAAAGAGAGAGGAAUAAAUGGGAGUAUUUUUUUUCUCCUUUAAGGAACAUAGGUGAAAUAUGAGUUUCUUUCCAAGAAACUUAGAAGUGCAAGAGUUUUCUUGUCAAUCCCUUAUAAGGUUAGGUUGAUAUAUUUAUUAAUCUAGGGUUUUGAAUAGAGAGUGAUGUCAAUUCCUUAUAAGAUUGAACUGAUAUAUUAUUUGAUAUAUUUGAUAUUAGAAAUGAAAAAAUAGAACUCUAUAUAAAAAUAAAAGAUGUAUUAACUCAUUGUAACCUUUUCUUGGUAAACCCAACAUCUUUUAUAUGCAUUUAUUUAUUUAUUAUUCAUUGAUCAAUACUAAAUUUUUUCCUAAUAUCUUACUCCGGGCAUGGCAACUCAACCAUACCCAACUUAAGAAAAAUAAAAAAUCACGUUGAAGAGAGGAAACCAUAUCUGCUUUGUGCAUUAGCUUAUAUGAUUAACGUGUUGAUAGAAUUUUCUCUAAAGAUCUUCCAAAGUAUAAGAAAUCUAAUAUGAAGUGGGUGUGUAUUUUUUUACUCACAAAAGAAUAUGUGAAGCACUGUCUAUAUUUAAGUAUUAAUGAAUGUGUAUUGAUUGAUUUAACAAUAGUGGAGAGGUUUUCUGUUAGGUGGAAAGAGUGCGUUUAAUUCUUCCGUACGAUGAUUUGUUUAAUUCGGUGGAAAAAAGGAUGAAUGUGUCCAAACGCAUAUUCUGUCUGGUUUGGGAUUAUAUAUAUGGUGACUGAUGCGUGUGAGAAUCCAGGUUAGAUAUGUAACCCUGUAAGCCAAUAUUGGCUUCUGGACUAAUCCUUUUACUUUUAUUAAAUUUCCCACUAACAAAACACGAAAGGGAAAAGGGGCAAUCCAUGGUACCACUAUACAUACUUGCCCUAAUGGCACACAAUAACAAAAAUAUAUUUUUGUGUCAUAAUCAUAAAAAUAAUAAAAAAAUAAAAUAUCAAUUUUUUAAAAUAUAUAUAUAUAUAUAUAUAUAUAUAUAUAUAUAUAUAUAUAUAUAUAGAAUGGGGAUAAAAAAGAAAAAUUAAGGAUGAAUUUUGAUAAACUUAAAAACAAGGUGCGUUGAUAAUGCAAAGCAAUUAGUUUUUUAGCAAGUAAAUUGGAUAGUUUAUAAUAUAACAAGUAUCGUAUCUAAAAUUUUGAUAAAAUACACAAAGUUUAAAUUAGUUUUACUUGAAUAAAAUAAUAAAAAGGUGCAUGAAAGGUGUAGAAACAAAUUUGAUUUCAGAAAAUAAAAUUAAGCCUACAAGUAACGCAUUGUAAGAUAUUGAAAAGGUUGAUCUUAGGAUGAUAAAAAACAAUUUGAUAUUGAAAAGGUUGACAUUAGAAUGAUAAAGACGUGUUCAAACUAGAUUUUAUCACUUUGUUCCUCUCUUGUAAAAGUUCAGUUAUUAUUUAUAAAGAUACAAAUAAUCAUGUCUUGAGAGUACUCUUUAAAUGUAACUCUAAGUAUAUUCUUGUCACCUAGAGUCUAAGACCACUAGACUUUAGUAUGAUUCGUUAGUGAUUGCUUGAAUAGAUCACUUCCAUUAAGAUUAAGACUCUAUAACCAACUAAAGUCUUAAGUCUAUUCCUAGAAUCUAAAAGCAGGUAGAGAAUUUGUUGAACCAUAACUUAGAACUAGUUCUCACUCAAUCUCAAGCCAAUGAAAUAAAACAAGUGAUCAGUUCAUCCAAUAAUGAAUACAAACUAAUUCACAAACAUGUUAUAGUACAUUACGUUAAUAGAUAAAAGAAUAUCCAUACAAAAAAAUUCCAAAGGGUUAUAUCUUUGAUUCAACACUUUAAGAGAUUUAGCUCCUCAUAAUAGACUAUUAUGAAAAGAUUACAACACAAGGAGGAGGAGUCAUCUCUUCAUACCUUUAAUAAUGUUCUCCAAAAUUAUGAAGGAAAGUAUCUAAGAAUCUCUUUAAAAAGUCUCUCUCAAGAGUCUAUCCAAAAGUCCUUAAAAUAGAGGUCCAACUCUGUUCUUUAUAAACUUUUCAGGACGUGGCUUUAGCGAUGCAAGUAUGGUUUUCACUAUAGAGGUUUUCUUUUAAGAUGGGUUUUUUGUAGCUCAAACCUCAUGCUUUUGGUGUUGUAUCCCAUGAGAUAAUUUCUUUGAGGAUGAGUCUUUUUUUGGUGUGGCUCAAUUCUCAAGAUUGAAUUGCACAAGUGUCAAAUAAAAUGGAAAUAGGGAAGGUUGAGUGCAGUUAUUGUUGUAGACUGGUAGAAUCUCCAUUUAACGCCUAAGUUUUUGUUCAAUAAAUGGUUUUUUUGUAUCUAUUUCUGUCUGUAGUGUGCAAGAUAAAAUAAAGAACUAUUUAGAAGUCAUUUAAGUUUGCUAAAUUCUUUUCAGAUUGUAUUCGAACAAUGUUUGGGAACUUUGAUGUCUAUUUUCUUCGCUUAUUGCCUAAUGCUACACUUUUUCUUUUCUCAUUGUUAACAGGAUUUUCUUUUCAGCUGCAGAUUGUUGAUUAAUUAAAUCCCUUGAUUUCUUCACUUCAACUACCACAUCUGUUGCAAAAUCCUCUGGAUGAAAAAUGGAGGAUUGCUGUCAAAAUGAGAAUGACAGACAUAAGAUGGAAUACUUACAGAGGACCACAUUUCAUGGUAAAUAGAAUACAUGAAUGAAUUUGUGAUCUAUCUUUUCUUUUUUCAGCUUUGCACUACUGGUUACUUUAUUCAUUAAUUGAAUUGGAUUUUGCAUUUGCAGUGGAAUACUGGUUCUCAGCAUCAAGUGAAAGAGCCAAAUGCACUGGUUAUGAAUAAGAAGAUUAAGUCCAUUGUGGCUGAAAGGCAAGCUGCUGAUGUUAGCCUGAAUUUGGUUACAUUUGAUGAAAGUAAUUUAUUGCUGAAUAGUUAUUAUUAAAGUUGGGACAAUGAAGACAACAUUUUUUGACAAUAUUUGAACAUUAAUCAUAUGUGUCAUUGUGUGAUUAGUCCAAAUGACAUAAUGACACCACCAUGAACCAAUCACACAAUGACACGUAUGAUAUGAUGUUCAAAUGUUGUCAAAAAAUAUUGCCUGAUUAUCUUUAUCCUUAAAGUUGGGAAUGUGAUAUCACUAGUUAAGUAUUGGAUUCUGAUGAACUAGAGGCUUAGAAUAUGAAAAAUACGUGGUAAAUGUACUUUGUUUUAAUACAGACUUCAUAUACUUCAGAAAACUAGAUGGAAGCUAGUAACGAAAUGAAUUAUGAAAUUGGUUGUGAUUGGAGGAAUUCUGGAUGUUAAAGGAUAUUUUUUCAGAAAAGCUUAAAGAUCAUAGACUAGUAUUGUAUGGCUGUAUUCUCUGUUUUGAUCAAUCUAGUAACUAUUCUGAUGUCUGCAAUGUGGGGUUUGGAAUAUGAUGCUGUCAUAUUUGAACAUGGAAAUGAGUGAUAUUGAUGGUGCUAAACUGAACUUUCAUUGCUGUCAGCGUGUAAUAAUAUAUAUAUGUGUGUGCUGAAUUGGAUGAGUGAAUGAAUGUAACCAUGUUUUAACCUUGUUAGUCUGCUUCCAUUUUGUGUUAAGGGAAAAUCUGCAGGAGUAAUCUGGACUCUAGAACGAACCUAUUAGUAGAAAGAAUAUUUGUAGAUAUACUGAUAAUAAAGUAGGUAUCAAAUUAUAGGAUGAAAUAUCAUUGAUUUGAGAAUCCCGAGGUUGUAAUCAUGUUUGGGGUCUAAUCUGCCUUGAUUUCUGGUUUGGAGUGAAAAUAUGUUUGAAAUUUGAUAAGGAAAAAGAUUUUUUAACAAUUUUUUUUUAAAUUUUAAAAAUAUUUUUUAAAAUAAAUUCAACAUAUCAAUAAAAUGAUGAUUUAUUUUAUUGUAAAAAAAUUAUUAGAAAAAAUUAUUAAUAUAUCGUGAUGGAUUUUAUAAUAUGAAUGUUCUGUUUUGGUCCAAUGAUUUAUAAUGGUCUAGAAUGUUUAGAAGUUAUUUCUAAUUACUAUUUACGUGAACUGUUUGAGAACCUAAAAUUUAUCUGUUUGAGCUUAUUGGUUUCACAAAUGGUUGUGAUUUAAUUUUAACCUAUAAUUAACCUAAAAUUUAAUUUUAAAAAAUUGGCAUACAAUUCUGAUCUUUUAUUUUUAGGUUAUGAUUUUAUUUUUAAAAAAAUAUUAUAAAGGAACUUGUACAAAUAUAGAAAAAAGAUGGAGUGAACAUUCAAAAGAAUCUCAGCUAUAUAUAGGAAAUAUUGUUUGUGGUGUCUCAUUUUGCACACGCUUUUUCCUUUUCCAUUUGUGUGUUUUACCUUUCCAUUAAAUAGGGCACCAUUUAUGCCCUGAAUCUCUUCAAGAACACCUUUAUUGACCAUCAUGCUUUGGAAACCCUUUUUGUGUCCCACAUGUUGUGGCAAUUAAUACAAUCAAAGUUGCUCCUAUCCCAUUUUAUUUGCCUCAAUUGUGAGCCUUUAGACUAUCAGAUUUCCAUGUUAUGCCAAUGCUUUUGGUUGCAUACAUCACAUGACUCUAAGGCAAUAAAGCCUAGUGCCUUUUGCUCUAUUUUUCCUUUCAUUCUUACAAAACCAUUUUUUAAACAUUAUUUUAUUUGUAAAUCUCCAAAUUAUAUAUAAAGAGAGAGGUUUAAUAAUUUCAGAUGUCUCAAUUUGUGCAUAAUCGUCUCAAAUAGAUUCUCGUAUUUUAAUUAAUCUUAAUUAGUUUUUUUUUUUUUUGAAAAAUUGACUUAAUUUGGACAUUGUUGUUAAGUGGACUGGAUGGCGUUAUAAAUUUUGUGUGAUGGCUUGCUAACUGAACACCUUUUAAUUACAAGGCAGAGUUUGGUCGUUUUAGGUGGACUUUUUUAUUUAAAGUUUUAAAUAAGUAAGUGGUCAGCCUGAUGGUUGGCCUAGUAGUCGGCCACUCGACUUGGUGGGUGAUCGGCCUGGUGGUACCAUGAGACCGUACGGUACAUAAAGGAUUCUUCAAAAGUCAAUCGAAACAUUAAAUCAAUUCUUAUUAUUUAAGCUUUAAAUAAUACUUUUUGUAUCGUACGGUCUCCUAACACCACUAAGCCAACCACCCUUCAAGCCGACCAACCACUAGACCGAAUGGCCGACUACCAGGUCGAGUGGCCAACCACUAGGCCUACCACGUCUAAAUUGUUUUUCAUUCCUACUUAAAAUAAAUCCACGUAAUGAUUAAACAUCUAAUUGAGACAAAUAAAAAUAUGAAGACCUAUUUGAAACGAAUAUACACAAAUAAGAAUGUCUUAAAUGAUUAAACAUAUAUAUAUAUAUAUAUAUAUAUAUAUAUAUAUAUAUAUAUAUAUAUAUAUAUAUAUAUAUAUAUAUAUAUAUAUAUAUAUAUAUAUAAACAUUAAAUUAAAUUCAUGAUACCAUCUUAAACAUGCACUUUUUGUUUAUCACUAAAUUCUAUAUUUUAUCACUCUAUAAUUAUUUAUUAUUAUUAUUAUUAUAACAUGUACGGUAUGAUAUCUGGGACGAGCGGUUACGAAGAAUAACCGAUCGAUUAUGUAUAACAUCAUGACUAUGUUGGACCAUAAUUGGGUCAUCUCUUAUUAUUGGGCUUGUAGUCCACCAAUUUAAACGAUAUCUUAUUAAAGAUCUGAGAAUCAAAUAAUAUCUGAUAAAAGAUAUCGAUAAAGUUGUUUAUGAGUAACCAAGUAAGUUUGUUUAUAUUUUAUUCUGUCUAUAUUCUAUUGGGAUUAUAUCAGUUCAAGGUCUAUAAAUAGAGAGCCAGAGAGACAAGCCAGGUACGUUCUAAUCACGCUUCACUCAUGUUUCUCAUACUCUAUACUCUUCUCAUAAUCACAACAACUCUUCUAUCAACUCUCUCAUACUGAGAAUCAUCAUACUAAGAACUAAGGUUCUUCCAUUAUACACGCCUAACUUGGACGUCAGAGUGUCUUUGCACGUACCUUCCCCCUCGGUCAAAACUCGAAGAACACCGGACAGUUCGAACUGAAAAAGAGCGAACGGUCAAAGUACGGAAGAAGGGAAAGCCAGAAAGCCACGUUGUCCAGAUUAGUAUCUCAGUCCCACGAAAUAUUCACCGAAACAUAACAUAUUCUAAAUUUUCACAUAUUUUACUUCUGAAGGUUUUCUUCUUUAUAUUUAACAGUCAUGUUUUGCAAUUUUCACUAUCCUUGUUAUGACAAACAUAUUGCUUUGUGAAAAUUGCUGAUAAAACGACUUUGCUUUCGAGGACACGCUAGUCUUUUGAUACAAAAUUAAUAUGAUGACAAAAUAGGCUAAAAUAUAAAAAAUGUAAUGAUAAAAUGAAUGAAACAAUGAUAAUCAAGAACUGAAAUGUGUAAUUCAGGUUAAUUUUAUUUAUUAUACCCUAAGUUUGAAGUAUUCACAUAUUUUAUUAUGAAAAGAAAAAUAUGGUUUUGGUCUUUGUAUUUUUCUGUUAAUUUAUUUUUAAAUUGAAAAAUAAGUUCUAUUUUUUUAAAAAAAUUAUUUAAUUGUAUUUAUAUUAAACUUAUUAUUUAAUGACUUUUUACUGUCACAAAAAAAAUGAAAGAAUGACUGAAUUUAAAGAUUUUUUGAAGUUCAAAAACUACCUCAUUUUAAAUGUUUGACAAAAAAAAAAAUAGAAAGAACAUAGAACAUAUAUUUUUCCCCAUUACAAGUCAUUGAUUUUUACCAAAAAGUAUAUCUCAUCAAUUUGUAGUAAACUGCUCUCCCACUACAUUAUAAUUACAAGUUGUAAUGUAUUACAAUUUCCUUUUAUAUUUAUUAACUUUAAUAAUGUUUAUCUUCUAUGUUAUCUCUUAAAAAUUAAGGUUUGAUAUGUAAUAGGCAAAAGUCACUUUAGUGCAAAAAUUCACCUGGAGCUAAACCUUUAAUUUUCUAGUGACUUUGUUUAAGUCAUCAAUAAUUAGUCCAUAUGUUUUCAAUUGAUCGAGUUAUUUUCAAUCAUGUUAGAUUUUUUAGUCAAUUUUACAAUAUUUCUUAAACAUUAUGUAUUUUUUUUAUAUUUACCUUGUAAUUGUCAAUUAAUGUACUUUUUUUAAAUUAUUAAUGAAAUUAAUUUUGAUUAAUUUUUAUGUACUUUACAAUUUUAUAUAUUUUAUUUAUUUCUUAUGAAAAACAAAAUUUAAUUAAAUUAAAAAAUUAUGAAUGUAAGUUGGUAAUUAUAAAUAAAGGAUGUUUCAAAUCUCCAUAAAAUAAUAGUUAUUAAUAGAAGAGAUUAAAACUCUCGACAAAAAACUUCCAUAAUAUAAACUCGAUACUAGAGAUUAUAUAUAUAUCUACAAAUCGAUUGUGACAACUCUAGUUGUAGGUAAUAUAAUGUAGAAGUUAUUGUGAAACGUGAAACAUGACCACUUUGUUAUUCGCACUUUCUCAUCAAAAUCAAUAAAAAUAACUUGUUAUUCAUACCUUCUCAACAAAAUCAAUAAAAAUCACUUGUUAUAUAUUCACACUUUCUCAACAAAAUCAAUAAAAGUCACUUGUUAUUCUACUAAUCACAAUAUCUUUUUAUAUUAAUUACAUACUUUUCUAACUUGUAAAGACAAAUAACUAGUGUUGUCAGAAUGAGUUGAAACUCGUGAGUCAAUCUGACUCAUCACGAGUUCGAACAGGGUUGGAUUGAAAAAAAAAAUAUGAAAUUUUGAUGCAAGCAAAUUUUGACCCGACUCAAUAAGAAUUCGGCUCACCCGGGUUAAACCCGUGGUGAGCCGGGUUGGUUCACUAACCCACCUACUUUUUUAGUUUUUUUUAAUGAAAUGAAAUUAAUUAAUUAUUCAAUGAAACCAAAAACAUUGCAACUCAAACCCUUAUUCUGCCUAUGCAAAACCCCUUUUUAUAUCAAUCGAUCCAAUUAUUACUGUUUCAACUUGAUCGAUCAAAGUAACAUAUUAUAAGAAUCCUAAAAGAAAAGGGUGAAAAAAAAAAUUUAAGUGAGCCAAUAAGUCAAAAUCCGUUUAACCCACUAAUCCGUAGUGGGUCGGAUCAAGUUUGAAUUUUUUUGACUCAUUAAUAAAUAAAUCGGAUUGGAUUAGUUUACUAAAUAGUUAACCCAUGAUGUGUCGGGUCGGGUCGAAUGAACUAUUUUGACAUCACUACAAAUAACAAGAUGAUGGAAUGAAAUAAUAAUCUUAUUAAUCAACAGAAAAAACUUAAUUAGAAAAUAUAAAAAUUUAAUUGAAAUUAGAACAUAAUUAAAUUCACAUUCAAGUUUGAGUGAAGACGAGGAAGGGGAACUUUGACAUUUUUUUUUUUACGUUUUAACAACUAGUGUGGAAGUUCUUUUCUCAAAACAAUGAAAAUUUGUUUCGGAAGCAUGGGAGGCAGUGUGAUUAUAAAUACAGAAUACCGCUCACAACCACUCGCAUGGCGCAUUUAUGUGAACGCACGUUCAGUAAACAAAAAAAUGAGAUUCUGGACAGAAUCUGAGAUUUCAGUUCACUGCAUGUGAAGAGAAGAAAGCAAUAAGCUUACAAGACUUUGUUAUUUGCAUUUAUUAACUGCUACUCAGCCAACUAUGGCAUCUCCACUGUCCAUCUCGUGAAUGAAAUCAUUAUCAUCCAUUUUUAUUUUAUGAAACCAUUUACAUAAUAACUUACAAUUUAUUGUAUUUUAUUUUUUUUUCUUUUGUUGUGAUAUAUUAUUUUUAAAAAUUUUAUAAGGCUCAAACUCUAAUUAAUAUUUUUUAUUUAAUUAUUGACUUUAAAAAAAAUAUUUUUUAGUAAUCCUGAGUUUUAGUUAAGUUUUAAAAUAUUACAUUUUAUGCUAUUUUUAACUCACUUUAAUAAAAAUCUUAUAGAAUGUAAGUUUUAAACGUGCGAUUGUAUAUAUUUAAAGGGUUUAUUACAGAUAAAAAGUAUAUAAUUAUCACUGCAAUUUUUUAAGGAUAUCGGAAACAAGUCACACUCUACUCAUCUAUUUGAGUAUAUGAACAUCUUAUAUUAAUAAACAAAGGUUUAAACCAUUUAGGUGUCUUUAUUUUUGUUUAGUCUUCCCACUUUGAUCUGCUUCUUUUAAACUUUUCCAAUUAAAUUCUUAGAACUGUUAAUUUGAAACAAUUGAGUCCCUGUCAUUAAAAAUCGUUAACGGUCGUUUAAGUAUCGAUGACGUGGCAUUAUAAAUGAAUUUUAUAUUAAAAAUGAUUAAUGAAUAUUCGUGUAAUCAGGAUUUUAGAAGGACAAAAUGGGAAUAGGAAAGACUUUCUUCUUCCUCCACGCUCCUGCGUUUCAAAUCCCAAAAAACAUGAGUUGCAGCGGUAAUGUUAUAUUUUAAAACAUGUAAAGAUGAAAUUGAACAUUAUAAACAUAAAAAAAUCCCGGAAAACAUGUUUUCUAAAUGUAUUACCUUUUCCUCAAGCAUCUUUUUGCAUGAUUUUUCUUCCUAUGAGGACUGUCUUUCAGUUUUAUUGAAAGAGUUCAAUUCCUUUUGUUUAUAAGCUCGUAGUGAUGCUAGAUAGUCAGCAUCCUGCACAAAAGUAACACAAAUUAUGUAUCAUGUCAUAAACCUUGAUCACACAGGCAUCAAAGGCAAGAAUCUAAACCUAUUGUUGUUUCAGCAACCGAGAGUCAAUUAAAAAUUGUGACAUAGAAGUGGACAUGCAAUGCGUUUCGAGAUCCAUAUUUUCUUUUGGACAAUGUUGCAGAUUAGGAAAGGAUGGAACACUGUAUAGAAAGUGUUUGAAAUGAAUUGAUUUGAUCAUUGNAUUACAAUAGUAUAAAUAUACAAAUUGAUAAUCCAAUUUGAAAGAGUUAAAAGGAAAUAAACUAUACCAAUUUAAUAUCAAUUAUUGUAAUAUCAAUUAUAAUAAUUGAUAUUAAAAUAUCAAUUAUAAUAAUUGAUAUUUUAAUAUCAAUUAUUAUAAUAUCAAUCAUUGAUAUCAAUCAUAAUAAUUGAUAUUUUAAUAUCAAUUAUUAUAAUAUCAAUCCUAAUAAAUGAUAUUUAACACUGACAAUUAAACUAAAUAAAGGGAAAGUAAAUAUACAAAAAUUAGCUAAUAAAGACUAAUUAUUACAAUUUAAAACUAAUUAUUGUAAUUGAUAUCCUCCCGCAAGUUGGACGAUCUGGAAGAGAGAUGCAACUUGGACAAUAAUGAGUCAAACCGAGGAUGAAGCAGAGGCUUUGUGAGUAUGUCAGCAAGUUGAUCAUCAGUAGACACAAAGGAAACCUGAAACUUGCCUUUUUGGACAUUUUCACGAACAAAAUGAUAGGCUAAGGCUAUAUGUUUCAUCCGAGAGUGAAAAACAAGAUUAGCACUCAGAGUUGUGGCACCAAGAUUGUCACAAUAAAUAACUGGAUUGGUUGUGGGCAUGUGACCAAGUUCAGUGAACAAGGAUAAGACCCAUAGAAGUUCACUGGCUGUGUCAGCCAAGGCUUUGUAUUCUGCUUCAGUUGAGGAACGAGCAACAGAGCGUUGUUUUCGGGAGCUCCAAGAGAUGGGAGUGCUACCAAGAUACAACAAAUAACCAGUGGUAGAGAUAUAAUCAUCCUUAUCACCCGCCCAAUCUGCANCGGAGUAAGCAUGAAAUGUUAGUGGAGCAGUUGCCGAGAUGAAGAUACCUUUGUUGCAAGAGCCCGCCAAAUAACGGAGCACCCGUUUGAGGGCAGACCAAUGCUUCGUUCUGGGGUGUUGCAUGAACUGUGCAAGUUUGUUGGUGUUGAAGGCGAUGUCCGGGCGAGUAAGACUUAAGUAUUGAAGACUUCCCACGAGUGCACGAUACUCAGUUGGGUAAGGUAGGAGAUCACCUGAAUCCUUGAGUAAUUGAGCACUGGCAGACAAGGGAGUGGAUGCUGGUUUGGUGUUAGCCAUGCCUGAUUUAUGAAGAAGAUCAAUGAUGUAUUUCCUUUGUGAAAGAAAUAGUCCUGUAGCGGAAGGAAUUACUUCGACGCCCAAGAAAUAGUUAAGACAACCAAGGUCUUUCAGUGAAAAUCAGGCAGCAAGGGUAGAUAUAAGGUUGGACAACUCUGUAGAGGAACUCCCAGUGACAAUGAUGUCAUCAACAUAUACUGAUAAAUAUAGUGUGGAACCUGAUUUUUGAUAGAUGAAGAGAGAUGCAUCCGCAGUUGAAUUGACAAAGCCAAGAGAGAGUAAAAACACUCGAAGCUUCGUAUACCAGGCGCGAGGUGCUUGCUUUAGCCCAUAGAGUGCCUUUUUGAGGCGGCAAACAUGAUCAGGGAAACUUUUGUUGACAAAACCAGGGGGUUGGAGCAUGAAAACUUCCUCUUUGAGCGUCCCUUGAAGAAAUGCAUUGUUGACAUCAAGUUGGCGAAUGGACCAUCCUUGACGAACUGCAAGAGUGAGGACAAUGUGAAUGGUGACCGGUUUAACUACCGGACUGAAUGUCUCUGUAUAGUCCCAACCAGGGCGUUGGUGAAAACCUUUGGCGACUAGACGAGCCUUGUACCGAUCAAUCGAACCAUCCGGGUGUCUUUUGAUUCGAAAAACCCAUUUGCAGCCAACCAAAUUUUGAGUAGAGGACCGACUGACAAGUUUCCAAGUGUUGUUGCAGUGUAAGGCGUCAAACUCAGCUUGCAUGGCUGAGCGCCAAUCAGGGUCACGAAGAGCUUGGGUGAUGGUGCUGGGCUCGAGUGGAGAAGAGGAUUGGACAUGGAGGUUGAGCUUCUGGAUGGGUUUGACAAUGUUGUUUUUGGACCGGGUGAUGAUGCCUCCUCCAUCGGUUUGGGGUAUCCUGUUAGGGUUGACAUUGGGUUGGGAUGAUGGCAUGGAACAUUGUGAGGAUGGAGGUGAUGAGGUGGUAUCAAAGUGUUUAGUGGAGGGUUGGGUCGAAGUCGGGGGNNNNNNNNNNNNNNNNNNNNNNNNNNNNNNNNNNNNNNNNNNNNNNNNNNNNNNNNNNNNNNNNNNNNNNNNNNNNNNNNNNNNNNNNNNNNNNNNNNNNNNNNNNNNNNNNNNNNNNNNNNNNNNNNNNNNNNNNNNNNNNNNNNNNNNNNNNNNNNNNNNNNNNNNNNNNNNNNNNNNNNNNNNNNNNNNNNNNNNNNNNNNNNNNNNNNNNNNNNNNNNNNNNNNNNNNNNNNNNNNNNNNNNNNNNNNNNNNNNNNNNNNNNNNNNNNNNNNNNNNNNNNNNNNNNNNNNNNNNNNNNNNNNNNNNNNNNNNNNNNNNNNNNNNNNNNNNNNNNNNNNNNNNNNNNNNNNNNNNNNNNNNNNNNNNNNNNNNNNNNNNNNNNNNNNNNNNNNNNNNNNNNNNNNNNNNNNNNNNNNNNNNNNNNNNNNNNNNNNNNNNNNNNNNNNNNNNNNNNNNNNNNNNNNNNNNNNNNNNNNNNNNNNNNNNNNNNNNNNNNNNNNNNNNNNNNNNNNNNNNNNNNNNNNNNNNNNNNNNNNNNNNNNNNNNNNNNNNNNNNNNNNNNNNNNNNNNNNNNNNNNNNNNNNNNNNNNNNNNNNNNNNNNNNNNNNNNNNNNNNNNNNNNNNNNNNNNNNNNNNNNNNNNNNNNNNNNNNNNNNNNNNNNNNNNNNNNNNNNNNNNNNNNNNNNNNNNNNNNNNNNNNNNNNNNNNNNNNNNNNNNNNNNNNNNNNNNNNNNNNNNNNNNNNNNNNNNNNNNNNNNNNNNNNNNNNNNNNNNNNNNNNNNNNNNNNNNNNNNNNNNNNNNNNNNNNNNNNNNNNNNNNNNNNNNNNNNNNNNNNNNNNNNNNNNNNNNNNNNNNNNNNNNNNNNNNNNNNNNNNNNNNNNNNNNNNNNNNNNNNNNNNNNNNNNNNNNNNNNNNNNNNNNNNNNNNNNNNNNNNNNNNNNNNNNNNNNNNNNNNNNNNNNNNNNNNNNNNNNNNNNNNNNNNNNNNNNNNNNNNNNNNNNNNNNNNNNNNNNNNNNNNNNNNNNNNNNNNNNNNNNNNNNNNNNNNNNNNNNNNNNNNNNNNNNNNNNNNNNNNNNNNNNNNNNNNNNNNNNNNNNNNNNNNNNNNNNNNNNNNNNNNNNNNNNNNNNNNNNNNNNNNNNNNNNNNNNNNNNNNNNNNNNNNNNNNNNNNNNNNNNNNNNNNNNNNNNNNNNNNNNNNNNNNNNNNNNNNNNNNNNNNNNNNNNNNNNNNNNNNNNNNNNNNNNNNNNNNNNNNNNNNNNNNNNNNNNNNNNNNNNNNNNNNNNNNNNNNNNNNNNNNNNNNNNNNNNNNNNNNNNNNNNNNNNNNNNNNNNNNNNNNNNNNNNNNNNNNNNNNNNNNNNNNNNNNNNNNNNNNNNNNNNNNNNNNNNNNNNNNNNNNNNNNNNNNNNNNNNNNNNNNNNNNNNNNNNNNNNNNNNNNNNNNNNNNNNNNNNNNNNNNNNNNNNNNNNNNNNNNNNNNNNNNNNNNNNNNNNNNNNNNNNNNNNNNNNNNNNNNNNNNNNNNNNNNNNNNNNNNNNNNNNNNNNNNNNNNNNNNNNNNNNNNNNNNNNNNNNNNNNNNNNNNNNNNNNNNNNNNNNNNNNNNNNNNNNNNNNNNNNNNNNNNNNNNNNNNNNNNNNNNNNNNNNNNNNNNNNNNNNNNNNNNNNNNNNNNNNNNNNNNNNNNNNNNNNNNNNNNNNNNNNNNNNNNNNNNNNNNNNNNNUCAUGGGAGCAGGAACCUGUCGUUGAGCAGCAACAAGGGAGAGUUCUUGAAUGAGAAGCUUCUCGAGGAGGUCAUCAAAAAGAAUGGGAGUGUCCCUUGGAUUGACGCCAUCAAUGACAGCUCUAUAACCAUCGUCGAGGCCACGCAAGACAUGGUCAGUCAUGUCUUCAACGGAGACAGGAGAGCCGAGUGAGGCAAAGAGAUCUGCAGUUUGCUUCAGAGAAUGCAUGUAGGUGGUGAUGGACUGGGUACCUUUGGACGCCGUGUGGAGACACUCCUUUAACUGCUUGAGGUGGCUACGAGAUGCCUUGGCAUAGGUGCGCUGGAGAAGAGUCUAGAGAUCGUGUGAUGUCGUUGUUUGAGACACCAGGGAUGCCACUUCAGGGGAGAGAGUGGUGAGGAGAGCACCGUAUAUAAGACGGUCCUGUCGACGCCAGGUUUGAUAAGCAGGAUUUGGAGUUGGGGGUACACCGGUGGUGGAGAUCGUCAUCGAUGACGCAAGAAAGGAUCCAUCUGGAUAUUUGAGAAGAUAAUAGCCAUCAAGAAGAGCUUCAACUUGAAGUUUCCAAGUGAGGUAAUUUGAGGGUAGAAGCUUGGUGACACUGCUAAGGGUGAUGCAAGUGAAUGGUUUUGAUGGCUCAUGAGGGUUGCUAAUAGAUGAAGAGUUGUUGUUGGCCAUGGGAGGCAAAAAGAAAGGAAGGAGCGACGUCCUGUGUUGAGGAAAAAAAAAACAAAGAAACGAAGAGGAUCGUUUUAGGCUGAUACCAUAUAGAAAGUNUUUGAAAUGAAUUGAUUUGAUCAUUGGAUUACAAUAGUAUAAAUAUACAAAUUGAUAACCCAAUUUGAAAGAGUUAAAAGGAAAUAAACUAUACCAAUUUAAUAUCAAUUAUUGUAAUAUCAAUUAUAAUAAUUGAUAUUGUAAUAUCAAUUAUAAUAAUUGAUAUUUUAAUAUCAAUUAUUAUAAUAUCAAUCAUUGAUAUCAAUCAUAAUAAUUGAUAUUUUAAUAUCAAUUAUUAUAAUAUCAAUCAUUGAUAUCAAUCAUGAUAAUUGAUAUUUUAAUAUCAAUUAUUAUAAUAUCAAUCAUAAUAAAUGAUAUUUAACACUGACAAUUAAAUUAAAUAAAGGGAAAGUAAAUAUACAAAAAUUAGCUAAUAAAGACUAAUUAUUACAAUUUAAAACUAAUUAUUGUAAUUUAUACACUGUGAGUGGAAAUUUCACCAAAAAGUGAAUAUAUCAAUAAUAUUGUUAUCUAAAAAUAGAAAAAAUAUAAAAUUUAUUUAAUUAAAAAAAUAUAUGAAAUUAUAUGAGGUAAGAACAUGUUAUCAUUGCAGGAAACAAGUUCAAUAAUAAUAACUUCUAAAAAUGAAAAUAUUAUAUAUAUGUGUACAAACUUUCAUCAAAGUAAAAAAUAAUUUAUAUUUCUAAAGGAGUAGUGUUUUAAACGUCACAACAAUGACAUUUAACAUAAUAAAAACAAUAUAACUAUGGAAUGAGUGUGUUAUAGAGGUUAAAUAUGGCAUUUCUCUACAAAUCAUCUCAAAUCCGCUCAUAUGCACAAGGAUGGGAAAAAGUAUAUAUCCUACAAAUCAUUGUUUUUACUUGCUCGCAAAUAUGCACAAUCGAACAUAGAAAUUCAUUCAAAUCUACACCUAUGGCAAAUCUUCGCAAACGAACACACACUAAGUGAAGGAGAGGAGAAAAAUUGAUUAUAGCAAGAGAAGACAUCUCAGAGACGACAACAUAUGGAGAGCUAACAAUGUGGGAAGGUCAUGGCAUCUAUGCAAUGUGGAGAGAACAUGAAGAGAAAAGAAGAACAACGUAAACGAGAGGAACAAAGAUGAACUGAGAAAGAGAGAACGUGUGAAUCAAAUUAGGAAAAUGAAGAAAACUUGAAGAGAGAAAGAGAUUAAGGAUUCAGAUUCUAUGACAAGUGGUUUACUAGUUGUCAUAAUAAGUUUUGAACUUUAUUACGAAAGUACUACCGCUUCUGACCUAUUAUGCAAGGUGGUGAACUAAUCGUCAUAAUAAGACCUACUAUGACAGACCUUCCUAGACCUGCAGUAAUACAUUUUGAAUAUAAUCUCAAUUUUACCAGUACGCCCACCUAUUAUGAUAAGUAUUCCAAAGUAUAUCGUAAUAACUCUUACUUUUAUUAUAAAAAUACCACUUAUCAGCUUAUUAUGGCACAUAGAUUUUACAAGUCAUAAUAAAUUAUCAUAGAACCCCUUUUUUUCACUAGUGAUUUGAGAGAAACCUAGAGCUAAUGUGUGAGACGAGAGAACUCAUUAAAAGAGGUAAAACAGUCAAUAAAGUAAAGAUGAGUUCUUUGGUAUAGAAGAUGAGUAUGAAAAAAAGGUGAAAAAACUCUUGAGUGAAAAGAGAAAAAGGGAAAAAAAAGAGAAGGAAGAAAUAAGUAAAAGGUAUAAAGAGAAAAAGAUAAAAGAAAGGAAUGAGUAAGAAAAUAAAGAAAAAGAAAGAGUUGAAAGGAAAAACUAUCUUGAUUCAUUAGAAGAAAAACUUAAGAUUCUUAAUAAAAAAACAAGAGAGCUCACGAGGAAAUAAGAAAAAGUAAGAUUAUGAGUCUCUGAAAAAAGGAGUACAAAAACUCCAACAUUAAACACACACUUUGAGGAAGAUAGUAGGAGUGUCAAUCAAAUAUGGAAGAUGAAACUACUAAUUUGUCUAUCCCCAUUAUCUUCCUGUAUACAUAAAUGACUAUUCUCUCAUGAUCACUUUAAUAGAAUGAGCAAAUGUAAGCUAUUGUUUGAAUAAGUGUUUAUACAUUUAGUUACUAUUCUUGUUCUACAUACCUGGUUCAUCAUGUAGACUUAUCAAAGUCGAGUAAUAGAAUCACCCUUUUUGAUCGUUUAGUAAAUAAGGGGGAGAAAACGAUAUAAUCCAAAAAGUCCAACAUGAAUAGAAUAAGAUAACACAGAAUCAAGGGGAGUCUCCAGAAUUUUAGAAGCUCUCAUGCAUAACACUAUACACAUUCAUGUUAAUGUACCAUGUUUAUGUGUUUAAAUAUCAGUCUUUUGCAUAUAUUAUAUGCUCUAAUUAUUUAUCAUGCUUUAAUUAUUUAUAACAAUUGUUAUGAAAACUAACUCGCAUGCAUGUAAGACAACAUAUUUAAACAACUAAAAACUUUAGUUUUAUAAAUGCACUUCUAUGUAGAUUGAAAAAUCAUUUUGUUUAGAUAUGUAUUUGUUAAACAUAAAAAAAGGGAAGAUUGUUAAGACAAUAUUAUCUAUAAGACUGAACUUCUAAAUGUUCUCAUAUGUUUUAAAGUUUAACAAAAAAACAUUAAACAAAGAUAUGAAAAUGUUAUCAUUAGAAUAACAAUACAACUAAAAUAUAAGUGGCUUGUGAAAAUAUAAACACCUUAAGGAAAGCCUUAGUAAAAACACUGGGUAUGAACAGACGCAUUACUAAAUGAUUUCCCCAAUUAAUGUGUCAAUAAGAAUCUUGCUUAAUGCAACGAAUGUUAUACCUCGUUAGGUGAUGGUCAAAGAAACUCUCAAUAUAUCUUGAUAGAUAAAAGCGUCAAACUAUGUUUUCGAAAAUAACACUAAAAGUCUCAAAUGAUAUUCCAAAAACUCGUGUUGGAAGAUACUUAUUACACGCAUUCUUGAAUAAAAUAGAGAAAAACUUAAAGAAGCAUUUACACAGGCUAUACGGUACCAUGUGCCACUUCAUCCAACAAUGAAGUCUUCAUCAACUGCUUGGUAUCUUAGUGAAAAGCUUAAACGGUCAAAUCUUACCUGGACGAUAGAAAACUUUGUUAUUCUGAACAUGCAUUAAAUGUCAUUAAAAGCUCAACGUUUAAAAACAACAAAAGUAAUAAGAGAAAUGACGUAUCUAUUACAUGCAUAUCUAUUCUACUUUGUGUAGAUUGCCUAUUACAUGCAUCAACCUGCUCCAUCCUAUACAAAUUAGAAGUGGACAAUAGAAACAAAGAAGACAUUCACAAAAUGUUCUCCUCAUCAAAACUCGUGCCAGAAAAAUGGCGUUUCCUACUUUUGUCAAAGUACUAAAAAAACAAGUUUGUUUUGACAAGUUGACUUUAACUAACAACUGCUACAUAUAAUAAGACUAAGAAGACUCAAAGAUCAAAGCAAAGCUUUAUCUAACGGAUAUCUUUUGAGAAAUCUUUAAUUAGAAGAUCACUAAAACAAAUAAUCAAGAGAAUAACAUAUAGAAAGAAACCAGGAAUGAGUGAACUUCAACUAGACAGUGUAUCGAAAAGAUACCGAGAGUGUCUAAGGAUAUCAGGAGUGGUAAAGAAUAUUACGCAACCAGGAAUGAGUGAAACUUGCUACUAGUCAGAGUAACGGUGGUUACUUGGAGUGACUAGGGAUACCAAGAGUGGUGAGAAUACUCAAUUGUAAUCUUGUUGAAGAUUAUAGUGGAACUCUUAAAGGUGUUAGAGGAGACUGAACAUAGUUCGGUGGAGUGAAUCAGUAUAAAAACAAUUGUGUGUUUAUUGUUUUAUUCUUUUUAAACGUUUUUCUUACAAAUCAAAUAGUUGCACAUUACUUUAACCGCCAUGAAAUCUCUUGUCACAAAAAGCCUUUUAUUAAGAGCUAGUUUUAUCAAAGCGCUACAACAAACAUAUUUAAAUUAUUGAAAAGUAUUUUUGCUAAAAUAACUUUUAGUUUGAACUAAAUUUUAAGAUGGAGCAUUUAACAACUUACGUAAACUUUUCAAUCAUCGAAAAAUUGUUAAAUUAUCUCCUUCGCAAGAAGUUUUCCUAUAACAUUAUUCAACCCUCUUCUAGUAUUUUUCCAAGUACUUCAUUUCUAACAAAGCCUAUUCCACGUAUCAGGUUAUUAGAAAGAAAGAAAAAUAAAAAUAAAUAAACAUUUUAUGCGUACACUUGAAUUAAGCAUAAGACCAUUAGCCUAGAAUAAAGUGCUCUAACCAUCAAAGCUUUAUAAUUCUUUAUUUUAAUGUACCCAAAGUACUUCCAAACACAUUCUCAUAACUUGGCUAUUUUUUCCAGGGUCUUGUCUCGACUACAACUUGGUCAAAGGGUUAGUUACAAUUGCAACAACUAUUCCCUAUGUGCUAAAUUAAACUUUCAAGCUUGAGAGAAUUAUGUACAUAUUUGGCCUAACUAUUGACUUAAGAUGAUUACAUAAUAUUCCAAUGUAUAUUUAUUGGCAUAAAUAUUCAUUUCUGUAGUAUAUGUGAUCAAAUUUUAAUAGUUUGAUUAUGUCAUGAUUUUCCUUAAUACCAUACCAUAUAUUUAUAGAAUAUUUUGGGAUAUUAGAUAAAAUAUCACUUUAUUAUGAUUGUUAUAUUAAUUUUCAUAUAAACGAUAAAUUUUUAUUUUAUUAAUACUAUUUUAUAUCAAUUUUGAUAUUAUCUCUUUUUAUUAUGAGUUUUAAGCUCAAAAUCCUAUCAAUAUAAUUUUUUUUAGGUUUAAUAGCCAAUUUUGUCCCCAGUUUCGUUGACAAAUCUCGAUUUAGUCUCUCAUUUUAAAAGUGUUUGAAAUAGGUCAUCACUUUCAAAAUUUUGAUUCAAAUUAGUCCCUUCCAUUAAAUAUAAUCAAACGGCGUUAAUGGAAUGAUGAUCAAGCACAAUGCAAUGGUAACAUGUCAUUUUUUAUUUAGGACAUUUUGAUUUGUGCAAAAUAAGGUUAUGAAUUGUAGGGUUUUUUUAAUCCUAAUAAAUCUUAACCUUUCUUCUGAUGUUGAUUACCUUUUAUGAAUUUCUUAUGUAAUCAAUUUCAUAAAUGCUUCAUAAAUUCUCUUUCAGUGAUUUUAAUUAAGGAAAUCUAGACUCUCUUUUUUUAAUUAAGAAUCCAUUCAUGUUUAUGCAAUUUUAAUUAUUCAAAAAACCAUAAAUUAAGAACCCUAAUUAAAAUCGGAAAGGAAAAAUUCCCAAUUUGAAACCCUAAGCUUAUGAACCCUAAAAUUGGGAAUGAUUCAUGGCCUUCUGGAGUCGCACCUCUGUUUUGCAAAACUCACUCCAUCUCCUUCUGUGUUCUUCACCACGCUUAUGGCCUUUCACUACAAGAAAAAUCGUUGUUACAUACGGCUAAAAUCCGUAUAUAACCUCCAAAAUCCGUAUAUAAAGUGGUGUUAUAUACGGAUUACAUACAGCCAAAAAUCCGUAUAUAAUAAGGGUGUAGGUAAGGUUAUAUACGGAUAUAUCCGUAUAUAAAUUACAUAGGGAUAAUCCGUAUAUAAACUACAUACGGAUAAUCCGUAUAUAAACUACAUACGGAUAAUUUGUAUAUAAACUACAUACGGAUAAUCCGUAUAUAAAUUACAUACGGAUAAUUUGUAUAUAAAUUACAUACGGAUAAUCCGUAUAUAAAUUACAUACGGAUAAUUCGUAUAUAAUAUCCGUAUAUAAUUUAUAUACGGAAAAAUCCGUAUAUAAUAUCUGUAUAUAAUUUUCCGUAUGUAACUUUAUAACUUAUAUAAAAAAAAAUUAUACCACAUUUAAAUGUUUAUAACAGAAAAUAUGAUUGUUUAUUUUGAAACAAGGACAAUUAAAUAGUACAAGGAGAAGUUUAGAGAAUGAUAACAACAAACUAGUAAUAAAAAAUGUAAUAUAAUAUAUCUAUUUAAGAAAUACAAGAUACUUCUAAGAUGAUAUAUCAUAAUAGAAGUCCAAAUGGAUAUAAGGAACAUAAAAAGUAACCAGAAAAAUGAGUAGAAGUUUAAGUUUUAACUUUAUGUAUAUGCUCAUCGCAACUAUAGGAAAGAGUUCACCUUUCCUUACUUUUCUUCUACUUCAACACUGAAGACUCUGAAUGAGAUGACUGCAAUUCAAAGAUCUCCAAAGAUAUAUAUAGAAAUGGAGGGGCAAAAACAAAUCUAACUAUAUGCCAUUGACACGUUUCAUGCAGUAUCGGGUUAGGAGUAUGAGAUACAAAAUUUGUCCAUCAUUUGGGUAUGGAUAUGUUAAUACAAAUUUUUAAAAUAUGUACAUAAAAAAGAUAGAAUUAGCUAAUUGGAGUCCAAAACAAAAUUUCCAUGAAUUCCAACAAUGCAUUCAUAUACACCCUCAACUGCAAUAUUAGAGAUGGAUAACAUGCCACGUGGGAAGAAAGGAACAGAGAAAUUGUGAAAGAUUGGCACUUGGCUGGCAUACUUUCCAAUUCCUAUUUGAUCAAACAACACAAUCCUGAAAAAUAAAGAAAAGGAAUCAUGGACAGAUCAAAGAAUCUUAAAUCUAAAGAUUUAUGGUUUUAAGGAGGGAAAAUAAGUAAUUAACAAUGACAAUGAAGUUAACCUACAUCAUGCGAUAGAGAGAAGAACAUUCAUUGAGCUGAUUUACCCUCUCGUCAUCCUCAUCCACGUGAAUGCCUUGCGCGGUGCCAAUCGUUUUGCUUCGCUUUGGUUCUCCAGCAAUUGCUCCAUUUUAACAGUUGCGCGACGCGAGUUCAAUUUGAAGGUUUCCUCGAAGUUCCCUCCAGAGCGAGAAAGGAAACACUACAACCCUAGGGUUUAGGGUUUGUUCGGUGGAAAUCCUAAAAGGAGUAAGAACUCGAUUCUGGAUCGAUUAAACACUUGAAAAGAGAGAUUGAAUCGAUUAAUCGGUGUAAAACAAAGAUUGAACGGUGGAAAUGAAGGUUUAAGCGGUGGAAAGCAAAAAUAAUCGGUGAGAAAAGCUUUUAAACGGUUGAAAUUGAAGGAAAAGGAAAUAUGAUGGAGAAAACCCUAGGUUGAUGAAGAUGUUCGGAGAAAAGGCGAAAAACAUGAAGGAAGAAGAUGAAUCUGUAAUGAAAAUGAAACUUACGAAGAAGAAAGACGAGCUUCGACAAUGGAGGAACUCUUGAGCGAAGACUUUGACACUACCAUUCCAGUCGUGUCCACGUCAGUCUGAGAAUACGAGUUAGGAUUCGAGGUCUCCAGUCCCCUCAACCUUGUAGUGGAGCACGGGUUGGAGGCUAGGGUUCGAGGGGAGGGUAAUGCGGAAAAGGCAUUGGCAAUGUUGGUUAAGGUUUUAAUGGAGGCUACAGAAGGGCUGAAAAACAAUGGCUCGAUGAGAGGCAAGAACAAGAGCUCGAGAGGGAAGAAGAGGGGCUCGAUGGCUCAAUUAUAGGGAAGAAUAAGAGGGGGAAGCUCGAGAGGGGGAAGAAGAGGGGCUUGAUGAAAAAUUUCGAUGAGGAGAAAUUUUGAUUCCUGAAUCUAUCUCUUUAGGUUUUGUAUUAGGUUUAAUUUUUUAUUUAUUUUUUAUUAUUUAUUGUAAAAUCCUUACGUAACAUUGGUAGAUAAGGGAGAACCCACUUAUAUACCAAUUUUUUAUAUGGAUUUAUCUUUAGUAAAGCUUCUGCCAGAAGACUCCAUCAUUACAUACAGAUUUUACAUACGAAAAAUUCGUAUAUAAAUUUUUUUCUUAUUAUAUAUGGAAAAAUCUGUAUGUAACUCAUCCUAUAUAAAAUUUGUAUGUAAUGGAACUUUUAUCUACGGAUCAGAAUUCGUAUAUAAUAAUCUGUAUGUAAAUGAUAUUUUUCUUGUAGUGUUUGCAUUUUGUUUUCUAUUUCGAUGGUUUUCUUCUUCUCCAUUCGCGUCGUGGUGGUUUGGGUUUUCAAGUUGGUCUGUUUCGUCUUCGAUGGGGUUCUUGUGCAGCAAUGGUUGUCAGAGUUGCGAUAGUUUCCUCUGGUGAAGAUGCGACUCCUUCUUCGAUUGGCAACGUCUUUCAAUGCCAACGCAGAAACAACGUUGGUCUUCGCUCGUGAAUGACAGCGGCUCAGACGCUUCUGCGAGAUCUGGUGCUUAACACCUGUUGGGUUGCUCGAGACAACAGGAGUCGCGUUGCGUAAUGAUGGCGCUACGUUACAGUGGUCCUCGCUCUCGCGAUGGCAGAGGCACAAUCAGUGGUAGUGUGUUCACUGGUUUCGUCUUGGGUCGUUAAACACUUCCUCAAGCAACUCCGGAAGAGGGAACACCUCUUCGCCAACCACAAACCACCACACUACUGCCAACAGAAAACACUCAAAUCGAAACCUAAAACAACAACAACAUAAACGAAAAGAAGAUAAACAAGAAGAGCAAUUGUAUUGUGUUUGCAUUGGAGGUGAACAACUUUAUGUAAGAUGGGUGAAGAACUAUGCCAUAAUCUCACAGAAAUGAAAAAUCCCUAAAAUCAAUUUUUCCCCAAUUUCAAAUACCCAAUCUUUAAUAUCCAGCUCAACUCUAACUUCGUAACACGUUACCACGCUUAUAAUUUAAAAACAACACGUCAUCACUGCAUUAUGCCAAAUCAUCACUCCAUUAACGUCGUUUAGUUAUAUUUAACGAAAAAAAUUAAUUUGAAUCAAAAUUUUGAAAAUAAUAAUCUAUUUCAAACAUUUAAAGGAGAGACUAAAUUGAGAUUUGUCAACGAAACUAAAAACAAAAUUGACUAUUAAAACUUUUUUUUUACAUGAGUAAAGUAUGUGUAUUUCACUCGAAAAUCUCCUACUUCUUUGAACUUCAAAAAGUCACAUUCUUACUUAGUGAACCCUCACAUAAAUAUUCACAGUUAGAAUUGCGAUAAGAACAACAAUUAAUAAAUCUGCAACGCAAAGCUAUAUUGGUAGAAACACCCAACAACAUUCACUAUUUUAAGUAUUUUUAAAUUGUCUCUAAUAUUGAAAUUUUAUGUAUUUAAAUCGAAAAUCAAGUAUAAAUAACAAUUCAUAAUUAUUAUUUGUUUUAAAUUUAAAUAAACUAAAAUAUUUAGUUUCUACAUAAAGGACGUCUCAACGACAACAUUACUUCAUUUUCUCCCUUAAAUGAUCGUUUUUAUCGAAUUAUUAUGAAUUUAUAUUGAAAAUAUAAAACUAGUAUUAAUAAAAACAAAUCUUGAUAGUUUUAUGUUUAAUAAAGUAAAAUAUUAAAAUUUUACGUAAAACAAUAUUUUUCAUUUUCUCUUCCCCAGAAAGAGGAUACACAACAAAAAUAUCAGAUAUAAAAUAUUAAAAUUUUACGUAAAAGCCGUUACAAUGGAGAAUUUUUCAUUUUAUCUUCCCCAGAAAGAGGAUACACAACAAAAAUAUCAGAUAAAUAUAAAUAAACCAAAAAGAAUUUCCAAAAUAUAAAAUAUAAUAAAAUACAGAUAAUUAUAACGUUCGUCCACCGAAAUUGUUGACAGCAACAAUCCAAACAAACUCAAAUGCCCCCAAAAAAUACACGUGGCAAUAAUAACAAAUCCGUAUCAUUUAAAAUGAAUAACCCGGUUCGUUUUACGGUUUCACUUUUUCAUGUUUAGCGAACCGCACAUCCGUGACGCGAGAACCCGAUCCGCGACCGGUGCAAAUCGAACUCAAACAAGUACCCUUGCUGCAUCAAAUUCCCAAUCACAGAAAAUCCAGAACCCGGUCGAACUGCCUGAACCGCGAGACACUUUACUCCAUCCACCGGCUCAAUAAAAUAAUUCCCCGCCGGCGGCGCCAGCACCGAUUUUCCGGCGAGGAAGAAUCUCAGCUUCGGCAGCCUCGGCCUUGUGAUGCCGGAGACGUUAACACAAAGGUCGAACCCGAGCGCGGCGGCUCCCUCCGCCGCAGGAAGCCUCACGCGCCGCCGGAACGCGGCUAAAACCUGCCUAUAAGCUGGCUCCGCUAGGAAAGAAAGCGUGGUGCCGGAGUCCAAGACGGUGCCUCCGUUUCCGUUAUCAUCGAUCCCCCAAACGGAAGGUUUUAUCGGUAACCUAAUGCCAUCGACGGAGACACUCUGGAUGAUGAUGUAAUAAAACGAGGGAGACAGAGGGUUAGUGACAAAAGGCGUGUAACUGAACAGCUUCCGCGAAAUGACGUCGUUUGAGGAGGCGCCGAUUGUAAGGUAGCUUUUUGGAGCCGGGGAUAGGGUGUAGUCGAGAAGACAGUAAGAGAAGGUGUUGCCAAAUUUGCGGCCAAGUUGGGAGGUAAACGAAAUGGGCCCGCGGCCCAGUCCCAUUACGCCCUGCGCGCCGUUGAAGCUGGAGCCUGUUACACUGGGGCCAGAGGUUUUAAACCCGCACCCGAAUGCCAGGUUUUUAAUUUUACCUUGUUUGUUGGAGCUGGUGUUGAACGUCGUCGUUUCCUUGGAGAAGAAGCCCGUUGUUGUGGACCCAUCCGCGUAGGAAUAUUCGUAGCGGCAGGGUGUGUGGAGUUUAGUGCGGUUGUUACAGUGUGUGGAUGUGGGGUGAGGAACGAAUCGACACGGCGAGUCGUAGCAGUGGUAGGAGGAGAAGCUUCUGGAAUGUCGGGGCAGGAAUGCGGAUCCGGGUCGCCUGGUGGAGCAGUUACGACAGGCGGAGCAUUUAACCCAGACAAGGUCGCUGCCGGUGUCGACUACCAGGAGGAGGCGCUGCGGCGGGGAUCCGAUGCGGAGGUCCGCAAAGUACUGCCCGGAGCCCAUGGCGGCGCCGGAGGUGAGCGGGGAUUGAGGCGAAGUACGGAGGCCGGAGAUGCGGUGGAGGUCGGCGGCGAGGAUGUUGGAGACGUUGAAGAGUGUUGUUCGAGGGACUAACGGUAGCUUGAGGUACUCGGUUGACGAAUGUGUAAGGGUGAGAAUGGUGAAGAAGAAGACGAAGAAGAGGAAAGAGUGGACUGAAGGAUACAUCGUUGAAUGAGAGAGAGAGAGAGAGAGAAAGGAGAGAGAGAUAUAAUGGUGAGUGCAGAAGAAUGAAAAUAAAAGAGAAAUGAAAUCAGAAGACGGUCGAUGCUACGCGAUUUUGGGUUCGAGGAUAUACGUAGAUAUACUUUCAUACGUACGUAUUUCCUCACAAUUUAAUUUUUCUUUACGUAUCUUUACUUUUACUUACAUAUUUAGAAAUGUAUUUUGAAAAAUAUGUUUAACGGAAACUUUUCUUGUGAUGAAUAGUGUAAAUUACAAAUGUAGACCGUAUAAUGAUGUCGCCAGAUCAACAUUAUAAGUUAUGUAAUGAUAUUUUACUGUCUGUUUAAUAUUUGUGCGUUUAAUAUAAAUGUGGACCAUGUAAUUUGUGUUUUGUGUGUUUAAUUACCCAGUUCAUGUAUAUCAGAAAAGUAAAAAAUAAUAAAUAAUAUAAAAAACAAAAAGUUAGAAAAUCUAUAAAAACUUAGAAACAUGAAAAUUUAAAAUUAUCUUAUAAUAUGUGUUUUAUAAUGGUUAUGAACAUAAAAAUUUGAUAUAUGGUUGCAAUUAAAAAUGAAAUUUUAAGUUUAAAUCAAUUCUUGUAAAAUUUGAUUUGAAGUAAUUUUAUUUUUUAUUGAUGAAAGACUUUCAAUAUAUAAAAUAUAUUCGAUUGGAUAUUAACGAAUGAUUUAAUAGAUUUUAUUUCAUAAAUUUAAAAUUAAACUUUAAAUUUAAUUUAAUUUUAAAAAGCAAUUUAUAAGAUAAAACUUAUAUUCAUAUAUAUUUUAAAUUAAAUUUAUCUAUGUGGUAUUUUUAGCAUCAAUUUAAAUUUAAAAUUUGUUAAAAUAUAAAAAAAAAAUAGAUAAUUACUGAGAGAUUUCAUUUUUUUAUAGUGUAUUUUCAAUUUUGGAGAAUUUUAAAAAUGUGUAUGUAAGAAGAGAAAAAAUAUAUUAUAUAUAAUAUUAAGUAUUAGUAGCUAAAUUAAUAAAGUUGAAGUGAGUGUAAUAGUGGAGGGAAUAGAAAGUAAAUUUUUGUGUGGUCUUUAGGCAUUGUUGGAUGCAUGAUGAUUGUCUUUGUGCCAACUUUGCAUCCAAUAGGUAUGAGCCACGUGGUAUUUCCAGCUGUUUUUUCCUUUAUUCUUUUUACGAUGUUGGUUUUGUGUCAUGAUCGCUUUCCUUUUGGCACAGAUGCUGCAUGUGUUCAGUGACUGUGACAAUGUUGUCUUUUGCUUUAUUUUGGCUAUUUUUUAAUGACACUGUCUCACAUGAGAUUAACACUGUUAUCUCAGACAUGUAACUUUGUCUUCAUUCAAAACUGCGUUACGGGGAGAAACGAACACGCCCAACAACAACACUACUCCAUCUAAUUACGGAUCACAUUUUUAUCACCACUUGUCAUAGUCAUUGCCAUACCCAUUAAUGACCUUUUAUUUUUGAGGUUACUAUUUAUUAAUAAAAAAACAUUACGUAAGACAUACACUUUUAUACAUAUUAACUUUGCCACUGAAAAAGCAGCAUUUGUAACAAUAAAAAUAAUAAUAAUAAUAAUAAUAAUAAUAAUAAUAAUAAUAAUAGUUUAAUGUUUGCUUGUAAUGUAGUGUGAAAUCAAUGUAAAAAUAUUUCAUCACUCUUAUGAAAAUAAGCAUGUGAUACUAGAAAAAAUUAUAAAUAUUUUUUUAUUGAAGGUUUUGAUGUCUACAUAUAUUAUUUUCCUUGAAAACGAUGAAGUUUGUAUGGUUUGUGACUGGUGCAAAGGUUCACGUGCCCAAGGUUGUUAAGAUUCUAAACUUCUUUUGUCUUGGGCUCUUGAAAGUUGUCUCAAAUCUUAUAUUUGAAUAAGCUUAUGCGAAUUUAACAUGGAUUUGUAUGGUGCCAUCUUUGCAUUUGUUUAGGUUUCUGCAUACUCUUAGAUCAGAACCCACCUAGUAGAUAUAUAGAUUAAAAUCUUUUGUCUUUUUCAUAAUUUUUUAACAAUGUUAAUUUUAUUCAAUGCUCUUGUGUUAUAUUAAACUAUGAAAAACACACAAAAAUAGAAACAUUCAAUUUUAAUUGAAUCCACACUUGCUAAAAUUGAGAAUAUAUAUAUAUAUAUAUAUAUAUAUAUAUAUAUAUAUAUAUAUAUAUAUAUAUAAAUUUUAUAUGAUUUAAAAUUCUUUAGAUAGUUAUCAUCACCAUAUAUUCAAAAUAAAUUACAAGUUUUAUCACUAUUCACAAAUAAGAGUAUAAGUUGAUGGAAACUGGAUAAAGUAUGUUUCACCAAACUUAUAUACAAAAUCUCUUCACCUUAUUUACUUAAACUAAUGCAAGCACAGGUACACAAGUCUUUCCAAUCAAAGUAUGCAAACCUUCUUUAGAAGAUAUAACAAUUAAAUGUUGUUUGAAAAUAAAAUUUACAUUAUUAUAAGGAGGAUAUGAAAUAUGUUUUUUUUUUUUUUUAAAUACUUCACAAUUGUGAAGAGUUUACAAUUAAGUUUUCUCUUUAUAUCUUAGUCGCAUAGAAGAUGAUUUAUAGAAAUAGUAGUAACGGCUUUACACUUUUUGACAUCCAUGUUUAACAUACUUGUUAUAUCUUUCUACUUUCUUAUUUGUUUAGCAUGAUUCUGCCUCCAUAUAUAGGUGAUGAAACACAAUAAUUAAAGGUAGUGUGAGCUUUAAAUAAUUUAUUGUUAGAGUUUCUUUUACAGGAUUAUGACUUUAUAUCGACACCUUCUUGAAUUAUGAUGAAGUUGAAACACAUGUCUUUAACUUUGAGUUUUUCUGCAUUAAAAUACCAAAAAGAGAAUUCUCACAUUUAUAAUGUGUACUUAUGUUAGCAUCCUCACAAGAAGUAUUUAUAUCAGUCUAAACGAUACCAUGAGCUAAACUAUUACUUCGUCCAAUGAUGAAGUAUUUACUCAACACUUGGUAUCUUUAGAAGAAAAUCUUAAUUCUUAAAUGCUAACUCAACGGUAGGAAAUCAAAAAGCACUUUGUUGUUCUAAUUAAGCAUUAGAUGACAUUAAAUGCUCAACAUUCAAAAACAACAAAAGUGAUGAGAGAAAAGAGAUAUUUGUUGCAUGUAUAAUCUACUUUAUUCCUUGCAGAUAACUUGCUUUACACACAUCCACAAGCUUCAAAUUAAAAUAUCAAAAGUGGACAUUAGAGAUAAAAGAGAUAUUCACAUAAUGUUCUUCACCUAAAGUAGUGUCCAAAAGAGAGUACAACCUACUUCAAGCAAAGUACUGAAAAAAAAAACAUGUCUAUUUUGACAAAUUGACUUUAACCAACAACUGUUGUAAACGGAGAAAGAGAAGACACGAGAAUCAAGGCCAAGAGCUUAGUCUAACAGACACUUAUCCAAAAGCCUUUAAAUAGAAGAUCAAAAGAAAAGAACAAAAAGAGUUCAAGAAAAAAAAAUAUCUAAGUAGAAAAAAGGGAAGAAGAGAAAAGAAGAAAGGCAAUACUCUCGAUCUUCAUUGUAAUAUUGCUUACUUACUAUAAGAAAGAAAGAAAGAGGAAAGAGAGAAACACCUGUAAGUGUUUAGAUUACAUUGUAUUGUAAUUACAUCCUCUCUACGAGAGUAAUAAUCUGAACGACAUGUAAGCAAUCGUUGAUUGCAAUUUUGAAGAAAUUAAAACACUUGUUGAAACUCAGUUGAGUUAACGAAAUCUAGGCAAGGUUGCUUAGUACCAAGAUUGGUGCGAAUACUCAUCUAGUCUAGAAUAACAGGAGGUUAUUCGCUAACUGAGGAGACCAUGAGUGGUGAGAAUACUUAUCCAAUCUAAGUUAACAGAAGGUUACUCAUUGAUUGAGAAGACCAAGAGUGGUGUGAAUACUCAGUUGUAAUCUUGUUGAAGAUUAUGGUGGAACCCUGUGUGAAGGAGAUUGGACGUAGCUCAACUUGAGUGAACCAUUAUAAAAAUAUUUAUGCAAUUAUCUCUUCUCUUGACUAAACGCUUCUUUUAUAAAGCCUGCAACUGAGUUUUUAUUUCUAAAUACAAGAACCUUCCUCACCGAACAAUUAUUCUUCAACAAAGAAAUUUCUUACAAACUCUGCAGUGUACAUUCUGAAUAGCACACUAAAAGCAAUUAUCUCUUAUAAUCAUUUAUUAGGUUGAGUGUCUAAGCAUUUAUAAAAAAAAAAAAAACUCAAAACUCAACAACGUGCUAUAUCAGAAGGGUUACGAAAAGAAUUUAACAAACUGAACCUUAGACACACCAUUUAAGGACAUGAACUCAAAAUCAGAAAAGGGGAGAAGGUCUAAUAGAAUGAGAGGGUUGAAACCAUAUACAAUAUGAAAAGGAGAAUUGGAGGAGGAAGAGUUGACAACCUUAUUAUAAGAAAACUAAAUAUGGGGUAGCAAAUCUUCUCACUGGCAUGGAUUGCCCUCAAUACAACAUCUCAAUAGUUGCCCCCAAAGUUCUAUUAGACACUUCAGGUUGACCAUCAGAUUGUUGAUGACAAGUGGUAGAGAAAAGGAGUUUAGUAUUUAACUUAUUCCACAAAGAUCACUAGAAAUGACUAAGGAACUUGGAAUCUCUAUCAAAAAUUAUAGUCUUAGGCAAACCAUCUAGACGCACAACCUCUCUAAAAAAUAAAUUAGCAAUAUGGACAAUAUCAUCUACUUUGUGGCAUGGAAUAAACUGAGCCAUUUUUGAAAAUCGAUGCGCUACCAUAAAGAUAGAGUUCAUCCAUCGAUGUGUUCUAAGUAAGCCUAAAACAAAAUCCAUAGAAAUAUCAACCCAAGGACUAUUAAGAACAGAAAGAGAAGUGUAUAAGCCAUGAGGAUAGGUGGUAGACUUAACAUGCUUGCUUGGAAUGCAUUGGCUACAAAACUUAGCUACAUGUUUAUGUAUGUGAGGCCAAUAGAAAUGCUCAUGAAGAAUAACUAAUGUUUCUUCAACCCCAAAGUGUCUCAUCAAUCCCCCCUUAUGUGUUUCUUUAAUUAAGAGAAGACGUAAUGAAUUAUUGGGUACACAAAGGAAUUUGUUUUGGAAAAGGAAGCCAUUUGCUAAGAAAAAAAAAUCCUUGUGUGGCCCAUGAGAACAUUGGUCAAAUGAAGAGGAGAAAUAAUUAUCUUCUUGAUACAAUUCCUUUAUGUGAUCAAACCCAAGAAAGUUGGUUUCAAGAGUAGUCAAAAUAGUAUGUCUUCUUGAUAGAGCAUUGACUACUAUGUUAGAAGAACCUUUCUUGUGUUUGAUAACAUAUGAAAACUAUUCCACAAACUCUACCCAUUUAGCAUAUCUCUCAUUGAGUUUGCCUUGUUCAAUACUUUGGAUAUGGUAUGUUAUCCUCUUAAUUCUCCAUUUGAAUGAUCUUCUAUUUAAAGGCUUUUUGGAUAAGUGUCCAUUAGACUAAGAUCUUGGCCUUAAUUCUUGUGUCUUCUCUUUCUUCGUGUACAACAUCUGUUGGUUAAAGUCAACUAUGAAUAUUUCUUUUGUCUUUAACGUCUACUUUUGAUUUUUUUAAUUUGAAACUUGUGGAUGCGUGUAGAGUAGCUUAUCUACAAAGAAUAAAGUAUAUUGUGCAUGCAGCAAAUGUCUUUUCUCUUAUCACUUUUGUUGCUUUUGAAAGUUGAGCAUUUAAUGUCAUUUAAUACUUUCUUAGAACAACAAAGUGCUUUUUGAUUUUCUACCGUUGAGGCAGCUUUUAACAAUUAAACUUUUCUUCUAAAGAUACCAAGUGUUGAGUAAAGACUUUAUCGUUAGACGAAGUAAUAAUUUAGCUCACGGUAUUUUUUAUGUUGAGUAAACGCUUCUUGUGAUUUUUCCUCUUUUUAUAGAUAGCGUUUAACAUUGUUUGUGUUUUCUUUGGUGUUUUAAGUUUUAAUCUUUUAGAGUGUUUUUGUCAAUGACAUCGUCUUAACAUUGUUUCGUUUUUCCAAGAGUUAAAUUGAAUACCUUUUGGGUAUGAUAAGUUUUACGUGUUUAGCUUCAACUAUCUUAGACACUUUGGACUUAUCAAUUGUUUAGCGUGACGUUUGGGAAUUUUGACUCAGUUGUUUUUUUGUUUCCUAAAGUCCUAAAUGCUUUCCUAAGGUUUUUCUAUGUCAACUAUGAAUAUUUCUUUAGUUCUAAGUCUUAUGUUUCUUCUUAUGUUAUUUCCAGAUUAUUAUUCUGUUUAAUGUUAUUUGAUUAAACUUCAAAACAUGAGAGCGUUUAGGCACAUAGACGAUUUUGUCUUAACAAGUUUAUUCAUUUUUGGUUCAACACUAGUCUUCCUUACUAUAUCGUUUAACUCAACUAAACUAAACAACUAAGUGUUUUUAUUCUCUUCAGAAUUUACAAACAAAAUGAAGGUAUUUUAGAAAAAAAAAAGGUACAAAUCAAAGCUCUCAGAGAGAGUAUGUUUUCAAUACAAUGAAAUUUGAAGACUUGUAAAAAAAAUUCUUAAACAAAGAAAGCAUUAGACGAUGGAAGCUUAGAUACAAAAGAACAACGUAAGAGUCAAAGAUAAAUUCUUGUAUUAUUCUCUUCAUCUAGUCCUCUUUAUAUAGUCUUCUUCGUGAAAGAUAUGUUACUCAAAGAGAAAUGACUUCGAGGAAAGCAGGUAGCCUUUAGGUAUGGAGUUAGGUACAUGGUAGCGCUAGAGCAAUAGUGCUUUUCGCAGAGGUGGUGCGUACGACUUCCUCAAAGCAAAAAACAUUAAGGAAACAUUCUAAAAAUGUCUUCCUAUCUCUUAACACCCUAUUGAUCUUGUACAAAACUUUUGAAUGAAGCUUGGUAUUAUCAUGAUCUGGAGAGAUAAAGAAAAACAAAGCACCAUAGACAAAAAGUACAAAUCGUACACGCAUUUAAUGUUAUAAAUGUUGUAGAACGUUUAGGCAUAUUUACUACUAAGUGUUUAGGUUUAGCGCACACAUUUGUGCUUUUGAGUAACAAAGCAUUUACAAGAUACAACAUUUAAUAAAAGUUUUGUCUUAAACAGUUUAAAAUGUUAAACACAUUUUCAUCCCACAUUGUUUGAUUUAUAUAAAAUAUUAUCCAAGUUCAACAUAAACGAUUUGCUCACAUUGUUCAACAUUGUUUUUAUCAAACAUAUCUUUCAGACAAUUUAAGCUAUAAACGUUAUUUCAUUAAAGUUCAUUUGUUAAAUUUUAAAACAAGAGUUGUUAGAUAUUUUGUGUCUCUAAAUGAUCUUUAUCUUAUUGUUUGUGAAUACACUCUGUAAUAUUUAUCAAUCUUCAUUUAAGAUUUAAUUACAUCAUGUUUUUAAUAAAUAUUUUUUUCAAAAGACUAUAAAAAGAUAAAAUUCUAUUAAACAAUUGAUCUCUCCCCUUUCACCCAUGAUUUGGCUUAGCUAUAAAUCAUUUUUCAACAUUACAAAUGUUGUGAUAUAAGUAUUGGAAAUUUGUUAUGACGAAAGUAUUGUGAUAAAAGCUCUAUAAAAUUGUUUUGAGAAAUUAUUUUAAUAAUAAUAUGUAUGAAUAUGUGAUAUGUGAAUAUUGAUUUGUGUAUGUUUACAAAUUACAUAAAAAGUUUUACAUUAAAAUAAGUUUGCAAUAGAGAUGAUUGAUAUGCAUUGUGAAUUAUGCUUGUGACAAAGAUUAUUGGUAUGUUUUGUUAAAUAUGUUUAUCAUUGGUAUAUGUUGUGAAACAUGAAAAACAUAAUUGGUGCGUAUUAUGAAAUGUGAUGAAAUUUGUUGUAAAAUUAUGAGAAAUAUUGGGUGCAAUAUUCAGAAUCAUAUAGGUUAUAAAAAAUAUUGAUUUGAAUGUCUGAUAAAUUAAUUUUAAAGUUAUGUUCCAGUUAUUAUAAUAGUAAUUGAUUUACUGCAUGGUAUUAAUUGUCUUAAGUUUAUUAUUACCUUAAUUAUUUGUUGUACGAUUGAUUGAAGGUAUGUAUGAAAAAUCAUGGAAUUUAUCUUAAUUAAAUGUCAGUGAUGAGUAUACGACACACCCUUAACUUUGUGAAACGGAGAGAGCUACAUUAUAUUUUAUUCUAAUAAUAUUAUUCACAAUAAAUCAUUAUCAUAGUUUAUUGUUAAAAGUCGUGUAAUUGAUUAUGAAUAGUAAAAAUAUCAAUCCUCCAACGUUUCGCUUGAGACAAUUCCUUUAAUUAAAGGUAAAAUAUAAAUGUAACUUAUAAUUUUUUUUUUCAAUAAAACAAAAUUACAUAAAAUAUCAAACUAUUUUUUCUUAGUCUGUUGAGGGGAGGGAAUGAUGAAAAAUAUGUUUCCGUUAACAUAUUCAUAAAUGGUUUACAACGGAAAACAUAGUUCAAAAUUAACACAUGUAACUGCUAUGUACAAAUGACCAUUGCCAAGUCCAAUGUCACAUACGUGUUUUAGCUUUCUAGCGCCUUACAGUCAGUGAAGCUCCCUUUUUCUUGCCUGAUAUCAUAGCAGCAUGUGACCAUGAUGAUGGCUUAAAGCCACCAGCUAGAAGACUGGAGGCUGAAGUUGCACAAAUUUUUCUUCUUUUUGAUUCUAGAUCUUGUCUUCUCUUAUCAGACAUAGAAUAGCUAGACACUCCAGAGAAAAUGGAUUCGGCAUUGAUCACUGCCCUCUUGUCCUUCCUAUUCUUUUCAAACUUUGUUGGAAACUUCACUCUUUUUGCUGUGGCAGAAUCUUCUUCAGUAGCUGGUAGUAGUCUUAUGCCAAGGCCUAUUUUCUUGGAAGCAUUCUCUUCUUCAGCAACUCUUUUCUUCUGACUCUGAGAAAAUGGACAAGUGUCAACCUAUAUUUCUUUUCUUUAGAGCAGGCUUGAAAUAUUAUUUACAAAAGAAACAAUAUACUGAUUCUGGUUAAAAAUGGAAAAGGAAUAGAAAACUAAACUACAACAAAUAUCAUGAGCCAAAGAGUACAUACUCUAAGCCGGGCCCGUAGAGUCUUAUUGAGAGCAUAGUCAUCUGAAUGCCUGUUAUCAGACUGCCUCUGGAGACGUACAAGCACUGGUUCAGAUUCCUUCUUUUUCUUCAAGUCUUCUUCCUGGUGUUCAAGGCGGUAAAAUGGAUCUGCAAGCUUACCCCUUUCUGAAAGGAAAAUUAAAUAUGAACAUAGUUAGCUAACUUUAUCGACAACAUUUCAGUUCGCUAAACAUGGUCAAAGGCAAAAGGCAAAAAAGGGUAUAGCACUAGAUUUAGAAGAGAAAAAAUUCCAUCCACUAAAAUGGCCAUUGGCCACUGGAUCUGACAGUAUGCUCUCCCUGCUUCUGAAACAAAGUUGAUGACUACAUGCACUAACACAUUCAUGCUAGCUGAAGAAAACACAUACUGCUAAAAAAUACUGUAAUAAACAGCUUUACAGGGAGUCAAUUCAAAAGUUUUGGCAUCCUCAAUAUCAAAAUCUUCAGUUUAAGAAAGCAUGCACUGCUAAAUUUUCACUAAUACUGUAACACACCUUCAUCGGCAGGCAAUUCAAAAGUUUCAGCAUCUUCAAUAUCAAAAUCUUCAGUUUUUUUCUGGGCCCCACUAAUAAUGACAUAUUCACAAUUCUUAGGAUCAGUCUGAAUGACGAUCUCAUGUUUGCAGCAAGCAGACUUCAUAGAGAAGCUCCAUAUCUGAAGGACCAAUAAACAUUUAUUAGAUAGUUAACAAGAAAACUUAGGUGGAACAUUACUAGAUGAGGGAUAAAUAGUGUACAAGCAAACAAAAAGGUAUAAGGCAAUCAACACCCACAUAAUAGUGGCAAACUAAACAAAAUAUAACUAUUCGUAAGAUAUAUCAGGUCCACCCUUUAAAUACCAAAAUGAUACACUUAAUCACAUCCACUGAAAAAAUAAUUUAAAUUCAAAUGCAUUUGAAUUCAACCUUAACAUACCUUUGUUGAGUAAUAAUUCCCAACUUGCUUUUUCUCUGCAUUGAACCGAACACCCUUUGCAAUCAUUGAAUUGCAUCCUCCACACCAUAUAUUAUAAGGCAUCUCAAAUCUGAAAGUAGUUUAGCCAGAUGAUGUCAAAUUAAAUAUUAAAGAAAAAAAAUAUCAACAUGGUAUCUUAAGCAAACCAAUUUAAAAAGAGUUAAACGAAUGAGAAAUGCAACAACAAAUUUUCCUAGCUUCCAUAAACACCAGACCAUUUAGGUAUCUUGGAUCUAUCAUACAAACUGAUAAGUACCCGAACACUUGGAAUGUAGUGGGACACAUAAUUGGGAUCCUUUAUUCACCAAUGGCAAACAGUUAAUAUGACUAAAUGGUUUCUGCAGCUACUUCUGAUUACCUUAUAAUCAGGAUACCCUGAUCUAGUUUUCUCGCCCUCUCCCGCAAGGCAUGCUGACCAUGAAACUUGUUCAGCGAACCCUGAAAAGGUAGAAAGUUUAUUAGUCUCUUGAUACUAGACAACUGUUGAGUUACAGGAGAGCUUAAUUAAACCUGUUAUUUAAACAUACCUGACUCGGUUCCCAUUCUGGAGGAUAGUAAAAGUUGUCUGCUCUAGCAGCCGCAAGCGAAGACUGAAACAAUCCAAUCAGAGCAAAUUCAGUAUACCAGGAAAUUAACGCACACCAAAUUGGCCAAUACAUAAGAAGCACCAAGAAUCCCUCUUAAGCCGAAAAACAAAAUUAAAACAGACAACCAUUAAGCCACAAACCAAUCAAUUGUAUUACGAAAGAAAAAUCCAUAGUUUUCUCAAGAAAAGCAGUUAUAUCAAACACUAAUACACGUACAUAUUAGCCACAAACAUGUGCCAUCAGCUUACAGUUAUCAAUCCCCUUUUACAAAAUUCGACCAUGAAAAAGAACGAUUUUCAAUGUACAGAUUGAAUUACUACAAUUAAAGGUUCUCAACACAACAAACAAGAACACAAAUAAAGCAGUUUAAUCCAAACAGAAGAUACAUAAUUGAAUCCAGAAAUUAAGAAGCACGUAAUACAACAAACCCUAAUUGUGAUCGUAUAACCAUAAAACGAAAAAAAAUUUAAGAAUAACAAAAUUCGAACCAUUGCUGUUUAUCUUCUUCAGAGAUUAUGAAGCUUUUCCCGCGGAAUCUAAGAUUCUUCGCUGAUCAGAAAAUUUCGAUCGGAAUAAAAUUUGUCGUUCUAAGAUGUAGUUGAUGAUAAAUAGUAUUGGUCUAAUAUAUCGGGUCGGGUGAUGUGAUUACGUGACCCGAUUUUUUUUCCUGCCACAAAAACUAGUCCAAAAUAGUCUCAUUUGAUCCAUUAUAUCCUUUCCUUUCAUUAAAAUCAAAUGUACUUUGUAAAGAAAAAUUAGUAUUGUUUAUUGUUUAGGACUAAUCAUAAUUUUUCCUAUUUUUUCAACAAUUUUAAUUUCUUAAUUUUUAAUUUUUAAUUUUUAAUUUAUAUAAUUUUAGACUCUAAUUUUUAUAUAAUUUUUGUUUUAUAAUUUGUAAUCAUAACUAACUUUGAUAAAUUUUUUAAAAAAUCCACUAUUAAAUUAAAUAUAAUAAAUCAUACAACAAUUAUUAUUUUCAAUAUCAUGCAAUAUAUUGCGACUAUAAUGUGAUAAUAGUACAUAAUUACUAAAUAAAACAUUAAAAUUUGAUAAUACAUAAGAUAUACUUAUGAAACAUAUAUAAUAUUAAUACAAUUAUUCAUUUUAAAAGUUAUAAAUGCAAUACGUAUAGUACACAUCAAAAGAAAACUAGAAGAGUUUUUCAAGAAGAAAGAAACUCUUAAUACAACUAACUAAAUAAAACUAAAUAAUCAUUUUAUCUCACUCUUGUCUUCCACUAAAGGUAUAUCAUCACCUAACUUACCAUUUGUUCACACCGUGAAGUAAUCAUCACAAAAGAGUAACAAAUCACAAAAGAAAAAAACAAGAUAAGCUAGUGCCCAAAAGAAACAUCAUAAGACAACUUAAUCAUAUUAAAUACUAGCUCAACAUUGAUAAAGUACCAAAACUCAUAUAAACACACAUAAACAAUUGAUUAUAAACUCAAUUUUUCGGAUACAUGCCUUUGACAUAGGGCUUCACGGUAGGUAUCCACUUAUAAUAGUAUUUAUGCUCUACAGAGCCAUAAACACAAGGUUAUCACCUUACUACUCACAAAGUUAGCCUCGUUCGCACCAAAGACCAAAAGUCUAGGGCUAGGACUUUUGCCAUUGUCUCCUGUCGCGACCUUACCAAUGAACUUACCGAAUGAUAGAUAAUUAUCGACGGAUAUAUCCUUCGGUAAUUACUGACUGAUUUAUCUGUCGAUAAUUACUAAAAAAUGUGUCCAUCAGUAAUUACGGACGAUCUAUAUUUGUCGAUAAUGAUUAUAGACAAUGAAACAACCGAUGAAUUCUUGACCGCCGAAAAUUAUAUAUUAUCAACAGAAAUUGAUUAUUUUCAACGGAUUAUGUCCGUUGUUAAAUAUUUUUUUGUAGUGUUGGUAAAGAACCUUAUAUUCCUUUAUUGAAGAUUUAACCAGGAUUGAAAAUUUAUCUUCAACAAAUAGUCUUUUGCGCACACCAUCAAUCUUCAUUCUUUUUAUUAAGAUUAUGAAAAUUAGUUAAAAACACAGCAUCAGGUCUCAUUUUAGUUGUUAGGACUAAAAGAGAAAUACCAUACUCUAUGCUCUUAAUUUUGUAAACAUAACUACCAUUUAAUGGAUAGAAAUAGAUAUUUAUACCUGAUAAUUAUGACAUAAAAACUAUUAUAAUUAUAACUACUAUUUGAAUCACAUCCUUUUAUUUAUGACUUUACUAUUAAUGUUGUUAAAACAAAUCAUCCGCUUCAGCCCGGUUCCACUCACCAUACGUUGGUUAGCCAACCUAACCUGAUUCAUUUAUUAACGAGUCAAAAAAAUUUAAAUCCGGCCCGGUCCACGGAUUGGUGGAUUAACUUAAUUAAAGUUUUUUUUUAAAUAAAAAAAACUACAAUUUUUUUUGUAAUUCAAAUUUAAAUAAUUUCGUGUUAAACUCUAAAGACAAUUCAAAAUAAAAAAAAUUAACAUAUAAUCCAAAAUUGAUAAUAAGUUUAUAAAAUUGAUAAGUUUUGUGUCAUUUAUCCAUUUAUAAGAUUAGAGUCUUGAAUGGAUAAAUUUAUAAUAUUUUGUUUUUUUGAAACAUCUUUUUCUUUAUUCUCAUUUACAAUACAAUUAAAAAGAUGUUAACUAAUGUUAAAUAUAGUGAAAAUUAUGUAUUGGAAUUAAUCCCUUGUGUUAAAUACACACAUAGGGUUCUCUAUUUAUAAUAGGAGAAAUAUGGGCUAAGCCCAAAUACAAAUGAAUAUGUAAGAAUAAAAUAAAAUAAGANNNNNNNNNNNNNNNNNNNNNNNNNNNNNNNNNNNNNNNNNNNNNNNNNNNNNNNNNNNNNNNNNNNNNNNNNNNNNNNNNNNNNNNNNNNNNNNNNNNNNNNNNNNNNNNNNNNNNNNNNNNNNNNNNNNNNNNNNNNNNNNNNNNNNNNNNNNNNNNNNNNNNNNNNNNNNNNNNNNNNNNNNNNNNNNNNNNNNNNNNNNNNNNNNNNNNNNNNNNNNNNNNNNNNNNNNNNNNNNNNNNNNNNNNNNNNNNNNNNNNNNNNNNNNNNNNNNNNNNNNNNNNNNNNNNNNNNNNNNNNNNNNNNNNNNNNNNNNNNNNNNNNNNNNNNNNNNNNNNNNNNNNNNNNNNNNNNNNNNNNNNNNNNNNNNNNNNNNNNNNNNNNNNNNNNNNNNNNNNNNNNNNNNNNNNNNNNNNNNNNNNNNNNNNNNNNNNNNNNNNNNNNNNNNNNNNNNNNNNNNNNNNNNNNNNNNNNNNNNNNNNNNNNNNNNNNNNNNNNNNNNNNNNNNNNNNNNNNNNNNNNNNNNNNNNNNNNNNNNNNNNNNNNNNNNNNNNNNNNNNNNNNNNNNNNNNNNNNNNNNNNNNNNNNNNNNNNNNNNNNNNNNNNNNNNNNNNNNNNNNNNNNNNNNNNNNNNNNNNNNNNNNNNNNNNNNNNNNNNNNNNNNNNNNNNNNNNNNNNNNNNNNNNNNNNNNNNNNNNNNNNNNNNNNNNNNNNNNNNNNNNNNNNNNNNNNNNNNNNNNNNNNNNNNNNNNNNNNNNNNNNNNNNNNNNNNNNNNNNNNNNNNNNNNNNNNNNNNNNNNNNNNNNNNNNNNNNNNNNNNNNNNNNNNNNNNNNNNNNNNNNNNNNNNNNNNNNNNNNNNNNNNNNNNNNNNNNNNNNNNNNNNNNNNNNNNNNNNNNNNNNNNNNNNNNNNNNNNNNNNNNNNNNNNNNNNNNNNNNNNNNNNNNNNNNNNNNNNNNNNNNNNNNNNNNNNNNNNNNNNNNNNNNNNNNNNNNNNNNNNNNNNNNNNNNNNNNNNNNNNNNNNNNNNNNNNNNNNNNNNNNNNNNNNNNNNNNNNNNNNNNNNNNNNNNNNNNNNNNNNNNNNNNNNNNNNNNNNNNNNNNNNNNNNNNNNNNNNNNNNNNNNNNNNNNNNNNNNNNNNNNNNNNNNNNNNNNNNNNNNNNNNNNNNNNNNNNNNNNNNNNNNNNNNNNNNNNNNNNNNNNNNNNNNNNNNNNNNNNNNNNNNNNNNNNNNNNNNNNNNNNNNNNNNNNNNNNNNNNNNNNNNNNNNNNNNNNNNNNNNNNNNNNNNNNNNNNNNNNNNNNNNNNNNNNNNNNNNNNNNNNNNNNNNNNNNNNNNNNNNNNNNNNNNNNNNNNAAUAAAAUAAGAACAAUGUUUCCCUAAUAAACAUAUAGGGACUAUAUUUCCCUAAUUAACAUAAACACAAUAUAAACUAAAUAUAAUAUCUCUAACAACUAAUAAUAUUGAAACACAAAACAAUAAAUAAUUAGAUUAAAUUAGGUGGGUUGGUGAGCCACGGAUUUAAUCCAGGUAAACCGGAUUCUAAGUGAGCCGAGUUAAAAAUUGACUUAUAUAAAAUCAUUUGUUUCCCAAAACCAACGAACCCGUGAUGGGUCGAAUUGAUCCAAGGGUUCGAACCCAUUUUGGCAUUACUAUUUACUAAUACUAUAUGUUUAUAAUUAAAUAUUUACAUUUUAUUUUUGUUCUUUUUCAAUAUUUAUUUCUAAUAUAUUUCUAUAUGAUUAGAAUAUAUGUUAAAUUAUCAAUUAUUAAUUUUUCUAAUUAUAUACUCAUAUUAUAUAUUUUUAUUAUGUAAUACUCAAAUUAAAAUUAAAAUUAAAAUUCUCACAACCUCGUUAAUCUUUUUAUGUAUUUUUCUCCCUUCACUUCUUCCACAAUCUUUUUAUGUAAUAAGGGGCAUGCAGGAAGAAAAGCCUUUAUUAAUUUGUUCAUGCAGGCCAGGAGGCCCAAAGCAAGGGGCCCAAAUAAGGACGGAAAACAUUAUGACAUGUGUAAGAAGUAACCAGUGUUGUGUGUGAAGAAUACAUGUGUCUUGCUUGAGUACAUGUUGGUUAGCUGAGAAAGAACUGAGAAAAUCCUAAUCUAUGGGCGCGGUUUCAUCCUUCUCGUUUCCACCUCUAAUCGGAACCUCAAUUUCUCGUUCCUCAAAGUCUCGUCUCGUCGUUGCGGCUUCCGAGGGCGGUGCCUCUUCCUCAGCCACCAAAUUGCUCACUUUUCUCGGCAAAGGUGGCUCAGGCAAAACCACCGCCGCUAUUCUCGCCGCCCAGGUACAUUGUUCAUCUUCAAUUACGUUUACAAAUUAAAACUCGUCUAACGUUUCCUUCUUUUUUCUGAACAUUUUUGUUUCCUAUCAUCUCAAUGUGCUUAGAAAAAAGAAAAAAAAGGAUUAAUAGUUUUUUUUUUCCUACUGCAUUACCAUGAUUUUUUUUUUCAAUUUCAUCUUAAAAUGUUUAAAAUUGUUUUUUUUAAUAAGUUAAUAUAAUAUUUUUAUAAAAUUCAUUUCACUUAAGUUAUUCAUGUAACUUGUUACUGUCAGAGAAUUACAUUUACUGAUUUUUUUUUUUGUUAAAAAGUGAGAUUGAAUUGAAAAAAAAAAAAAAAAGACUUAGGAUUAAAAUGCUAUUAAACCAAAAAAGAAAUAUAAAAAUGUAUCCCAAACUAAGUAGACUCCUACUUUCUUUUUCCAAAGUAUAUACUGAUAGAAGUCGUAGUUAUCCAAGUUCGUCCUUGGAAAAGUAAUUAAUCUACAUUUUAAUUUUUUAUUUCAUGUACCUUUGUUUCAGCAUUAUGCUUUGGCUGGGUUGAAUACAUGUUUGGUCAUACAUGGCCAAGACACCACUGCUGACUACCUUCUCAACUGUAAGAUUGGAACUUCCCAUAUCGCCUGCAGCAAGAACCUUUCUGCCGUUAGGUUGGAAACAACCAAAGUGUGUAUUGCUUUUUCCUUUGCCUUCUGAUCAAUGAAUCACAGUAUAUUUUUACUUUGCAUCUAAAGAAUAUGUGUAUCUGUAACUGCAGAUGCUUCUUGAACCUUUAAAACUUCUGAAGCAAGCAGAUGCUCAACUUAAUAUGACUCAGGGCACACUUGGAGGGGUGGGUACGUAAUAUGUUUUCAAUAUCAUAUUUUAUCCAUAUUUGCAAUGGAUGCAUUCCUUCAUCUAACUUUUACAGAAGGGUUAUAUCCACUUUUCUCUGUCAUACAAUCAGAUUGUUGGAGAAGAGCUUGGCAUCCUGCCUGGGAUGGACUCUAUCCUUUUGGUACUUGCUCUUGAGAGACUUGUGGGGUUUUUGGGGAUUGCUGCAUCAAAGAGUCAACAGGAUAAAUUUGAUUUAAUAAUAUAUGAUGGUAUCAACAGUGAGGAAACCCUGCGAAUCAUAGGUGGAAGCAGUAAAGCAAGGUUAUUGGAAUUGCCCCAUUCUUGAACUCACAUGCACACUCUUGUCAUUAUCUUUGGUUUGAUAUUGUGAUUUUCAGAUUGUACUUGAAAUAUCUCCGCACCUUGGCUGAGAAAACUGAACUUGGGAGAUUAGCUGCUCCUUCACUACUGAGACUUGUGGAUGAGGCCAUGACAAUAAGUAGCAGCAGAUCUUAUUUUAAUGGGAAAAUGAGUUCAGAAAUAUGGGACACUUUGGAUCAAAUACUGGAGGUAAGAUUAAACAUCAUUUUACCAUAAUCGUACCUUUCGCACAAAACUGUAAUUUUCUUUGUUGAUUGUGUUGCCCAGAGAGGAUCUUCUGCAUUCUUAAACCCACAUAAAUUUGGUUGCUUACUUGUGAUGGAUCCAAACUGUCCAACAUCAAUCAAUUCUGCAUUGCGAUAUUGGGGAUGUACUAUUCAGGCUGGUGCUCAGGUUUCUGGUGCUUUUGGAAUCACCUCUCAGCAAGAAAAUUUAGAAAUAUUGGAAAGAGCAAAGAAAGAAUUUUCUCCUUUGCCUUCUGCUUUCAUUUCAAGAUUGUUGAUGAAUAAUCCUAUAGAUUGGAGCAGAGUUCUACUGGAUACAGACAAUGAAGAUGCUAGGCAUCUUCUUAAUUCACUAACAAGUCAAGUUGUUAUGCCAUCUCCAGUUAGAUUUGAUGUAAAAAGAAGAUCAGUUACUCUCUUCAUGCCAGGUUUUGACAAAUCAGAUAUCAAGCUGUACCAAGUAUGUAAUGUCCUUCUCUUUUCAUGAUUUUCUUAAACCAUGAUAUUGAUGACACUCCUUUUGAAAGAAUUUAAGAGAGAAACAUUGUGUUAGGAGUUUGCUUUAAGACUCCACGUUUGUUUUCUGUUUUUUUUUUUUUUUUUUUUUAUUUCACUUUUUAAAGUAUUAUUUCAGUUUCAAGCAGUUAGGAGGAGUUACUUAAAGAGUUGGGAGAGAAACUAAAAUUUUAUUAUUACUAUUCUCUUAACCCUAAUACAUUAUACUACCCUAUUUAUAAGGGAUAGUAGUUCAACAUACAAAGGAAAAACAAAAGGUUCCUAAAAAGCCUAUUAGAAAAAUACAUUACAUUUCAACACUCCUCUUCAAAUUGGAGCAUGUAGAUCAUAUGCACCAAGCUUGGAACAUAUAAAUUGAAUUCUAGGCUCCCUUAGUGAUUUGGUCAGAAUGUCUCCGAGUUGUUCAUUAGAGUUGACAAACUCAGUAACAAGUUCCUUGAACAACAUCUUCUUUCUAAUAAAAUGAGAGUCAAUUUCUAUGUAUUUUGUUCUCUCAUGAAACAUUAGAUUGGAGACUAUAUGAAGGGUUGAUUGGUUGUUAUAGUACAGUUUCAACUACUCAUUUUCACAAAAUUUGAAUUCUUGAAGAAGUUGUUUGAUCCAAACAAGUUCGCAUGUAGUUAAAGCCAUAAAUCGGUAUUCAACUUCAGCACUAGAUCGAGCAACAAUACUUUGUUUCUUACUUUUCCAAGAUACAAGGUUUCCUCCAAAUAAAACACAGUAUCAUGUAGUAGAUCUACAACCAAUUGGAUAACCAGCUCAAUCUGCAUCACAAUAUCCUUCGAUCCGAGUGCUUCCCUUGUUCUCAUACAACAAUCGCUGUCCUAGAUUUCCUUUUACGUAUCUGAGAAUGCGAAUCACUGAAUUCCAAUGGUCAACAUGUGGAUUUUGCAUACAUUGAUUCACAACUCCCAGUGGAUAAGAAAGACUAGGUCUUGUUAUGGUAAGAUAGAUGAAUUUUCCAACCAACCUUCUAUAUCUCUUUGGGUUUGAGAAAGGUUCACCUUGAUCUCUCAUUAAGUUUUGAUUUGAGUCCAUAGGACUAUCAAUGGGCUUGCAAUUUGUCAAGUCUGUUUCCUUUAAAAUAUUAAGAGCAUAUUUCCUUUGUGAAAUGACGACACUUUCUUUUGAUUGUUACUUCAAUACCUAGAAAAUAUUUUAAAUGACCCAAAUUUUUAGUCUAAAAGUGGUUGAACAAAUGAUUCUUUAAUUGAGUAACUCUAGUGACGUCAUUCCUUGUAAUAAUAAUAUCAUCAGCAUAUGCCAUGACAUAAACACAUUUGUCAGGAGAAGAAUGAUCAUAAAACACUGAACGAUCUGCCUCACAUCGUUUUAGUCCAAAAUUUUGCACAACCCGACUAAAUUUACCAAACCAAACUCGAGGUGAUUGCUUCAAGCCAUAGAAGAAACGACAUAAUUUACAAACUAACCCAAACUCCCCCUGAGCAACAAACCCAAGAGGUUCCUCUUCUAAAUCACAAUGUAGAAAGACAUUUUUAAUGUCUAACUGGUAAAGUGGCCACUGAUUAAUGGCAGCCAUAGCAAGCAAAAUACGAAAUGUACUGGUUUUAGCCACAUGAGAAAAAGUAUCACAAUAGUCGAGGCCAUAAACUUUAGUAUAUAUCCCUUAGUUACUAGACGAUCAAUUUCACCAAUAGGACCAACUUUAAUAGCAUAAACCCAUCUAAAACCAACAUGCUUCUUACAAGAAAGAAGAGGGACAAGGUCCCAAGUGCCGUUGUGUUCAAGUGCCUUCAUUUCAUCAACCAUAGCUUGUCGCCAUCCAGGAUGAUCAAGUGCCUUAUGAAUAUUAUUAGGAACCUUAAGGGAGGAUAAGGAGGAAACAAAAGAGAAACAAGGAGUAGAUAAAUGAUGAUAACUCAAAAAAUUAUAAAUAGAAUAUGGAUUACGAGUAGAACAAAUACUUUUCUGAAGGGAAACGGGCAAAUUAUCAUCUGAGUCAAGAAAAGACGAGGAGGAUGAAGGACCCAUGGUCUGGGGAUCUGAUGGAGGAGGAUCUGAGUCUCAAGGAUCUUCAGUGUUUUGAGUUUGAGAUUGUCUUCGACCCUGAUAUGUGAGAAGAGGUGGAGGAACAAUGUCAUUUGCAUUUUGAGUUUGAGGUACAAAAGUGAGAAUAACAAAGGGAUCACAUGAUGGUAGAGGAAACAUUUGUUGAACAAAUGAACAAUCCUCCAUGGAGGACAAGAAAAAACGUGUAUCCUCAAGAAUGUGACGUCAACAGACAUAUAAUAGCUCUUGCUGGAGGGAGAAUAACAUUUAUACCCUUUUUGAAGACAAAAGUAUCCCAAGAAAACACACUUAAUAGCUUUUAUAGAGAAUUUAUCAAGACCUAGAGAAACAUUAUGGACAAAACACGUACACCCAAAUACAUGUGGGGAGACAUAAUAUAGAGUGUUAUUUGGAAAAAUGAUAGAGUGAGAAAUUUUAUUCUCAAGAGAGGAAAAAGGCAUCCUAUUGAUUAGAAAAUAGGUAGUGAGGACUGCAUAGCCCCAAUGAUGCACAAGAAUAUUAGUAUUCAACAUCAGGCAGCCUGCAAUUUCAAUGAGAUGUCUAUUCUUUCUCACUGCAAUACCAUUUUGUUGUGGAGUGUGAGGAUAUGUUGACUGAUGUAAAAUUCAUUGGGAAUAUAAAAAUGAAGAAAACGCUGCAUAAAAAUAUUGCUUAGCAUUAUCACUGGGUAGGAUUUUAAUUGUCUUCCCAAAUUGGUUCUUAAUUUCAUUAUAAAAGGACAUAAAUAUGGACAAAAGUUCAGAUCUCUCUUUCAUUAGAUAUACCUAAGUACAUUGAGAGAAUUCAUCAAUGAAGGUUACAAAAUAAUUAAACCAAACGAAGUAUCCCCAAAUAUCAGUUUGAAUAGUUGAGAAAGAAAAAUUACAUCGCUUCUCAGACCUUUUAGGAUAGGAAGAUCUAACAUGUUUUCUUAACUAACAAGACUCACAAUCUAAGACUUGAAUGUUAUUGAGACUCGAAACCAUCAUCUUCAACUUGGACAAACUUGGAUGGCCCAAAUGAUCAUGCAAAAGUUUCGGGGAUGAAGUCGUAAAACAGAAAACUGAAGAGCUAGGUUUUAAGAAAUAAAGUCCUCAAGACUCGCGUCCUUCUCCAAUCAGACUACCCGUACCAUGUUCCUGUAUAACAAAGGAAUUAGCAGUAAAGGUCACAGAACAAUUUAAGGAACAAGUCAAUUGACUCACAAAAUUUAAAUUUAGUAAAGGAGAUAAGGAAACUGCCAAUUCCCUAGGAUGCCACUUUGGAUCCAUUGGCAACGGUAAUGAAAUGAGGGAUUUUCAGAGAGGACAUGGAAGAAAAUGAAGGAAUCUUACUAGAGACAUGUUCUGAGGCACCUGAGUCAAGGAUCCAUGGACUAUGAUCUUCCACAAACUGAGAUAUGUAGGCAGUUGACAUGGAGGAAGAUUGGCCAGGAUUAGAAGAUUUUCGAGACUUGUGCCUAAAAAAUUCUUGGUACACUUCAUUUGAAAUUUUGGGUUCUAGAUCAUCAAAUUUAGAAACAUGAGCAACUUUGUCUAUAUAUCCAUGUAAGGCAUAAUCAAUUCAAUUUUCGUCUUUAGUUACAAAUUUUAAAUUGUAAUGUGUGUCAAUUUGGGAAAUUGAUUAUUACUGUAAAUAGGCUUUUAAUUGUCUUGAUUAUGCUUCUAGUAUUUGUUUAAACCUUUAACCUUCUACUUUCAGCAAGGUUUUGGUCAACUUCCUGGUAGAUAAAUUAUGAAUUUUGUAUAAUAGAUGAUGGAAUUACGUCUUGAGUUGUGCACAUUUCAUUAAAUAUCAACUAACAUUUUUUUAACUUAAUAUUUUGAUUGAAAUGUGACAAAUCCCAUACAGUGUUAUAUUCCGCUUCCCUUUCUAUCACAAAUUCUGCUCUUUACUAUGGUACAAGUUUGUGCAUAACUUAAUUCAGAAGCUGAUUGCUUUUUCUGUCUGUCUGUCUCCCUUAAAAAUGCCAAAUGCAGUAUAGGGGAGGAUCUGAGCUGUUGGUAGAAGCAGGAGACCAAAGACGUGUCAUUCCUUUGCCCUCAGAAAUUCAAGGAAAGGUUGGCGGAGCCAAAUUUGAGGAGAGAAGUGUUGUUAUUACUUUGCUGUGACUUUAUUAUUCUUUUUUAUUUUUCCUCCUUUAUGCAUGCUGAUAAUUAUCAGUGCUUGGAGGAGGCUUUCAUGUAAAAAAUAUGUGAAAUGGGGAGGUAGCCCCAUUACAGCAGAGGCAAUUCUUAGACAUUUUUUGCAUGACUUGCUUUCAUUCAGUGAUCAUGUAAUGGAACAAGAAUAGUAUAUUAUUGCUUGUUAUACAUCAACACCAUAUAUGUUUGGAGAAUGAUUAUAUUCUUGUUUAUGCCGGUGUAGGAAGCGUCUUUUUUCCCGCAUUGCAAUUUACUUGUAAUUAUAGGCCUCAAACUGUCCACCCAGAAUAAUGACGUGGAGCUCAUUGAGUAGCUGCCAGACCUAAGCAUUUGAUGACAGUAUUAAAUAUUGUUCAGUUGAAUUUCAUAUUGUACGGUAAAACCUGAAAGUAGGCAGAGGUAGGGAUCAUGUUGGGCUUCAAUUUGUCAAUUACAAUAUGAUUCUCGUAUCAUCUUUGUGUAGCAUCCAAUAUAUAUAAGCUAUGCAAAUUGAAGAAAAAUGAAAUAUACAGCUGAAAAGGCAACAUAUAUAUGGGAGAUACAGCUACAAAGGAAAAAAAAAAAAAAAAAGAGAAAAACUUCUUAUGGAUAUUCUACAUUUCUGGUUUGUUAUCUUCGGUCGCCUGAGAAUUUUGAAUGCGGCUCCUCAGGUCUUCAAAAGCCUUCAUACUCUCUCCAUCGAAGCCUCCUGCAAACUGAAAAGAGUUCCACACUACCAUUAGUGUUAUUCUGGCUAUUUAUGAAAUUUUCACCUUUUAUGCAUUUCACAAGCAUCCAUAUUAAAAUAUCUGUUUCAAACGUAUGCAAAUUCAUUUAUGAAACGUGUUACUGGAGUUGUUUUGAUGCUAGCAACUUUUCAGUAACUUUUUUUUUUUUCAGCAGAACAUUAGUGGCAUUUUUAAUGACUUUAAAGAUGUAACACAAGCUUACCAAAGAAUGCAAUGGAAUAGUACGUGUUUACUGCAAACGAAACUUGGGCCCUAGAAUUUACCUGAUGGACACGGAAAGCGAAACGCACGCCUUGAAGAAUCAAAAACUCUCUAGCCGGUUCUUUUUCUGGACCAGACAAUGCAUCAAGUUCAGAUGCAACACGUUUCAUAUACUUCCGUGCAAGUUGUACAGAAGAAAGCUUGAUCUGCAUUGGGAGUGUUAAACAAAGAGACCAUGUUAGUUGCAUCAUCCUUGCAACGUUACAAUAUUACAUUGAUGAAACCUUUAAGCAUUAACUAUUUGUCACAAGUUUUUUUUCCAUUUUCUUUUUACUCAAUAGGGAUAGCAUACUGGUAAUACAGCCAAGAUAUUUAAUAGAAAAUGAUAUUUUGACACCAAUUUUUUGACAUCAUUUUGACACGGUACACGUGUCAAAAUGUGGUUGGACGAUUACAAAUUAAAAAAAAACUUUGGUUUUUCUCUUUUAAAUAUGUCCUUUUCUCAGCUUUUUUUUAAUUUGAAAUCGUCCAACCAUCUUUUGAUACGUGUGCAGUGUCAAAAUGGUGUCAAAAAUUGGUAUCAAAAUAUCAUUUUUCAUAUUUAAUAUUGUAUUCUGAACAGUUGAAAGAAAGCAACACUCGGAUGAACCAAAACACAGUUUUAUUUGUUUUAGUAGCAUACCUUGCCUACAACUCCCGAAUCCAAUAGCCAGUUUACUGGGAUUCCAAACUCUUUGUACCGGGAAAUAGCCAUAUCUCUCGUCCGCAAGAGUGCGUAUACGCUUUGCUCCACUCUGGAAAGAAAAACAUAGCAGAUAUAAAGAAAUGAGUAGAUGAAAAGAAGUAAUGGUGUAGCUGUAGGAACUACAAGAAACCUGACAUAAUAAGGUCAUGUUCAAUAUUUUUGCGUCUUGAAAUUAUGAAUCUACAGCCUUAAAACAUAUAUAUGAAAGUUAUUUAAACAGACCUAGCUGUAUGGAUUGUGUUAUUAAUCUGUGAACUAGAUAUCCACCAAUGGUAAUCAAGAGAAAUAAUACGUAGAAGAAGCAAAGGAUGCAUACUUUUCAAGCAAUGAAUACAUUUUCUUCAGGGCAGCUUCACAUGGUAGAUUGGGAUCAUCAAUGAAUGUGGAGACUCGGUUCUCCAACUUGAUCAAAUCCUGAUAUUCAAAAGCUGCCUCCCUUAGUGCAUCUGCUUUCCCUUCAGGCCAGUCAAAGUGCUUGAGGACGGCACGUUCAUCAACCUUGCAUAAGGAAUAAAAUGAGAUGAUAAUUUUUCUAAGGAAAACAAAAUGAAGAGGUUUCUCAUAAAGUUACACUCAGGAAUAUGCAAAUACCAGGAAGGACAGUUCCUCAUCUAGCCAGUUCACAAAGGCCACCAAGUCAUUAAUAUCUGAGAAGGAGGCUGCUCGAACUUCAGCUGCCAAGGACAUGACAAAAUCACCUUGUGUUUCUACGUCAGCUUUCACCUGAUUGUUUCACAAAGGAGAAAGUUAUGCCUUUAGCUGAAAAAUGAGAAAACAAAAAUAGCAAAAUGGAUGCAAGAUUCAACAUACAGCUAGGAGGAAUGAUGAUCUAUUCUCAAUUUCCCCAAUCAUGUUGCUCCUAGCAUCAGAUGCAUUACUUGUUGUAGAAACUAAAAGUGUUGAUGUAUCUUUCUUUGCCUCCCUCUUCAUCAAUGACUGAUAAAAUUCAACUAGCUGUGGAGCUCUGUGAACUUUGUCACCAUCCAUUCCCCCUCUUGAUAGGCUUCCUGGGGGAGGAGGAGGUGGAGGUGGUCCACCUGGCGGUGGUGGUGGCCGUGGAGCCCCUGGAGGAGGAGGAGGAAUUGGAGGAGCAGAUGGUACUCCAUUGGCAGGAUUUGCAUUUGUGGUAGCAGCACCACCACCAGAUGGCUUAGGAGGAGGUCUAGGCACCCUAGUAGGCCUUUUCUCAAUUUCAGCAAGCUUCAUCUUGCUGAUAGUUUGAUCAUCAACAUUCUUCCCUUCUUCGGAUUGAUCAUUUGG